UGAAGAGGAGGAGGUGUUUGUUAUUUAGGUGGUGGUAGCUUUCUGGUUGUGUUAAAAGGAGGAGUAAGAAGAGUAAGAGUAAGAAAGCAAGGCUUUGUGGUGGUCUCUUUUUGGAGAUGGUGGCAUGGCAUGCUCCCUGGAUGCUGAUGCUGAUGCUGAGAGGUGUUUGUUAUUAAGUACUCCAGUAGUAAGAUGUAAAAAGACUAUGGCAUGGUUGCAUGUGAGGAUUGGAUGCAUGUUGGUGUAAAAACCUGGUGACUUUGUUGGUACCUUACCUGAAAGUCUGUCUGUGUUGUCUGGUUGAAUUGUGUGGUGAAUGAGACUGCUAUUGGUUGGUGGUCACUAGUUAACUCUAGUUGUUAUUCUUGUUGUUGUGGUUGGUCUAAUAUGAGAGCAGAGGAGCAUUGAUGCAUCUAUGUGCUGGUUAGCUAGCUUUUAUAUGAUGAGGAGGAGUAUCUUAUUUGGCAUGACUAGUAAUUUCACUGGUAGUAACUGAUAGUGUGAUACGCGGCAUGCUUUAGGCAGGCUUGGUAGAUUUGUCAAGGCUUGUGCUGCAGUGGGAUGCAUAUGCAGUGACCUGCAUGGGCAUGGGCUGAUAAAGCAGCAAAGGCAAGCAGUAGCAGUAGCAGUAGAUGCCAACUUUUGAAAUGCAUGCAUGCAUUCUUUGCUUGUUUAUAUUCUUGUAAACUAAACAUGCUCAUCUAUCCAUCUAUCUAUCUAUCUUUCUGCUUUAGUAUGUAUGUAUGUAUGUAUGUAUGUAUGUAUGUAUGUAUGUAUGUGUGUGUGUAUUGUAUUUUUAUUUGCCUUUGGAAAGUAAAGGUAAUGUGAAAGGAAGAGAGAAAAAGAAAGGGAGGAAGACAGAUGCUUGAGUCAGUUUCAGCCCAGCUUAAUUUGAGUGAGAAUCACCUUACCUGGCUGUCUGGCUGGCAUGAUAGCUCAUGGAUCCCUCAGCUGCAGCUGUAACUGGAGCUGGAGCUCAAUCUGAUCUCAUCUGAUGGAGAUGGAGAUGGAUGGAUGCUCCAGCUUCAGCAUCUUUCUUUUCAUGAUGCAUGCAUGCAGCUGGAGCCUAAUCUGAUUUCAUCUCAUGGAGGAUGGAUGGAUGGAUGGAAAGAUCAGAUUUUUCUCCUGCUUAGUGGCUAAGAGAGAGUGCAGUUAGUUACAGAGUAGCAGUAAAUAGUUGCUGGAUGCAGUGACUUGCAUGGGCAUGGCUGACGAAGAAAAGGCAUACCAACUUUGCAUGCAUUGUUUAUAUAUAUUCUUAAUAACAUGUUCCUUCAUUCUCUCUGCUUUACUUACUAGUGUAGUGUAGUAUGAAUGCAUGGUUAUUUUCCAACCCGUUUGAAAGGAAAGGAAUGCAAAAGAAAGGGAAAGGAGGAGGAUGCAUGUGCACUGGACUGACAAUAAUCUGGCAUGAUGGUUGAUCAUGGGUCCCUCAGCUGGAGCUGGAGCUGGAUCUUCUUUAAUCUCAUCUUUGUGAUGGAUGCUCUAGCUGCAGCUGGGCAUGAAGAAAAGCUUAAUGAUCUUUUCGUGAUGCAUGCAGCUGGAUCUUUAAUCUCAUCAUAUCUCUGGUAGGGUAUCCUAACUGUGCGACUUGACACGAUGGUAACAGGAGGCACGGUUUACCUAGGUUUGGGCUCUCACGAAGGAGAUAAUACCCUACGUCAUGCUUGUGUGCAUUGCAUUGAUACUUUAGGUAAAGUACCAAGGGAUUGAAUAUGAUCUACGACGAGCCCGACCCUCAGCUUAUAUAUAGCAUACCGGGGGUCCCAGGGUUACAAAACUAGGUCGACUACGUUGGUGGAGGUAAAGUCCUUCACGUCUCCGAUGUCUUAGUCGAGCGAGAUGUAACCACACCCUUUUAUUUACUCCCUCUGUUUCAUAAUGUAAGAGUGUUAUUAAUCUUAGUGAAGUGUCUCUUAUAUUAUGGGAUGGGGACGGUGAUAUGCUAGAAAUGCCAUCAUUGUUGGGCAAGAGAGUGCAUGCAGUUAGCCUGGAUACAAAUGCAUGCAUUGGCUACUUGUUGCACAGAGAGGAUGGUAGUGUAAAAAGGAAGGUGAGAUGAAUGGAUGCAACAAAAACAAAAGGACGGACGGACGGACGGAUUGGGAAAAAGGCACGGAGCGAUUCCAUGGCAACUUUACAGAGUGAGUGUUGCACAUCUCUCUCUCCUCUCCUCUUGUAGCUUAGCUUAGGUUGAGUGAGUGAGUGAGUGGUGGUGUGCUUUACUACUUUGCUUUGUUGCUUUGCUUUGCUUAACAGUGGUGGUGCUGCUCCUCCCUCCCUCCCUCUUCACACUGCACAGCUCUGCUUUCUUCCUCCCUCCACUCUAGAGGAGAGGAGAGGUGCUUCACUUUCCCCAUCCCCUCUGUCUGUCUGUCUGUCUGUCUGUUUUACUACUACUCCAGUGGAGUGCUAUAAUCAAUCAAUCACCCAGAUGGAUAGAUUGAAGAGGAGGCCAUCAUCUCCAUGUACAUCUCUGGGAGGGGCAGGCUACUGAUCCACCAUAGAUAGAUAGAUAUAUGCUUACGUAGCAACCAAGCAAGUAAGAAACACCGACGUGACGGCCGGCGACCACUGGUCUGCUCCGAUAGGCAGAGCAGCCGGGCGGCUAGCAAGGCCACAAUACAAUGGCCGCCGAGACUCCUCCAACGCAACACCGCUCCUCCUCUUCCUCUUCAUCUUGCUGCUACCUGCACCGGCGGCGGCGGCUUCCUCUUCUUCUUCAUCUUGCUCGGCUUUACAUCAUCUUGUUCUUCUUCUGCUCCUCCUUCCCCGCCGUGUCACGAGCUCAGAUGCCUGGUUAGUAUCUUCUUCUUCUUCUUCUUCUUCUUCUUCUUCUUCUCCUUCUUCUUCUUCUUCUUCUUCUUCUUCUUCUUCUUCUUCUUCUCUGCUAAUUGAUCCGUCAGCUACCACUGGAUAAAUCAGCAGCUUCUGUCUGUAUUACAUAAGUAUUUGCAAACAGCUUCACGCACAUGCACUAUCAUUCAUUCAUUUAGCCAGUGAGAUUUAAUCAGGAGUAGCUCGGAUGUACUGCAUGAUGGAUGAUGUGCCCGUAAUUCAUCGGUGUUGUGUACUACUGUACGUACGUACUAUCAUGAAGCUAGUGAGAUUUAUCUAAUCACACUGCAUCUCCAUGCCAAUUCAUCAGUAACACCAACCACUGAUGUAUAUUUCAUUUCAGUACUACUACUACUACUACUACUUCAAUUUGCACUAGUACUGUACCACCAAGUACUGCAUGAUGGCCUCUAACUAUUCAUCCAUGGAUGUUUUGAAUCACUCACUAUCCUGCUAGUAGAUCCAUCACCACAGAUAAUUGAUUUAAUCUUUUUUUGAUGAGGUUAACUAGCUGACUAACUGAAGCUGCCUCCUACAGUAUUAAUUUAAUUUGCUGCAGGCUUCCUCAGCAUCGACUGCGGCGGCGCCGCCAACUACACGGACGCCCGGGGCCUGCGCUGGACCUCCGACGCCGGCCUCAUCGCCACCGGCACCCCCAUCUCCACCCCCAACACCUCCAGCACCGACACCCAGUACGCCACGCUGCGCGCCUUCCCGUCCGACGGCGCCAAGCACUGCUACGCCCUCCCGGUCGCCACCCGCGCGCGCUACCUGCUGCGGGCCACCUUCCUCUACGCCGGCUUCGACGGCGACGACGCCUUCCCGGAGUUCGACCUCUACCUCGGCGCCACCCGCUGGUCUCCCGUCGUCGUCUACGACGGCGCACGCCUCGUCACAAGGGAAGCGGUCGUCCUGGCGCAGUCCUCCACCGUCUCCGUCUGCCUCUCCAACGCCACCACCGGCCGGCCCUUUAUAUCCACCCUAGAGCUCCGGCCGCUCAACGGGUCGCUGUACCGCACCGACGCGGAGGCCCGCGCCUUCCUCGCCCUCGCCGCCCGCAUCAACUUCGGCGCCCCCUCGCCGGAUCCCGUCAGGUCUGCCGCUUCUUUCUUUUCCCCCAUUUCUUUCCUACUUCUUCUUAUCUUGAUUUGAACAUGUAAUCAUCUUUCCAGUGUUGCUACUCUUUCUAAAAAUCACUGGAUUUGAACAUGCCAAAAAUGGUGAAUUUUUUUUACACAGGUAAAUUCUGGUCAACCAAUUUUAUUUAAAAACCAAAAUUUGUCAACUCCAGCAAACUAGUGUCUUUUUUGGUCUGUAGAUUAAUAUCCUCCUUCAGAUUUGGAGUUCCUUGCUCUUACAAACCAUGCCCCAAUUGGUCAAGUCAUAUUUUUGGUUUACCAUCAACAUCCCCAAAAACACAAAAUUGAGACAUCUGUCUGUUGCAUGAUUUUUCCAACCAGGGAGCAAGUAACAAGGGAUUUUGACAAAACUGCUAGCCUGAAAAAGAACCCAUUUUCCUCCAAAACAUCUCUUCAGAAUAACAAGCUGGGAAACGUUUUCAUAAAGAUUUCUUCUCUGGAUCAGAGAGCAGAGCAGAGCAGACCAGAGUUUUUACAAAAAAGGGUUGAACCAACAAGGUGGAUGUUGGUCUUAGGUUCAUAACCAAACAAACUCACCAUUUUCCCUUUUAACCACUGUCACAAAACAUAAUUUAUGUCAAGAAACCGGUAAGGUUUCAAACUUUUCCUUGUGAAAACCCAACCAAGGUUCCACCAUCAGAUUCUGUUUUUCCAAAUCCUCUUACAGCACUAAGGCAUAUCAUGGAGGGAUUUAAUUUCUACGUAACAAGUCACAAGCCUCUGUUUGUAAUUAUACUUACCCAAUUACCAUCAUGCAGUUGGCUGGGAUUCAUCCGUAACAGAAACAUCAAUAUUGCCAGGCAGGGAAAUAUCAGGGUGUUCAUCACCAAAAGCAGCGCCGUCUAAUUCACGUGCACCAAAAUACCUUUUAUUUUUCAUUUUUUAUGUUUCAAGGAAUAGAUUUAAUUCUUAUUCUUCUUCUGUUGUUUUGAUCAUAAUCAAUUACAGUUCUUACAGUACAUGCCCCCAAAUGGUGAUUUUUUUACUCAAAUUGUGGUCAAGCAAUUUAACCCAAAUUUUAUGGAACGCCUAGGCCACCAAAACCACACACACAGAAAUAUGAGACAUCUGUGUGUUAAAUAAAUGGCAUGAAUUGCCAACAGAGAGCAAGUAAGAAGGAAUUCGAAAAAGGGAUAACCUGAAGAAGAAGAACUAAUUUUGCUCCACAAGAUAGCAUUUCUGAUCUCUUCCUCGGAGAAAGUUAAACUGAUCUCCAAAACGGUUGUACCAACAUGGGUAUGUUGGGCUUAAUUGGGUUCAUAACCAAACAAACUCACAUUUUUCUUUUCCUUUUUCUUUUUAACCACUGUCUGACAACAGAGUUUAUGUCGAGAAACUGACGGCAUUUCAAACUUUUCCUUAUUAAGACCCAACCAAAGGUUCCACCGGCAGAACCUUCGGCUGGGAGGUGAUGUCAAGCAUAGUCGACUCUGCUAGAAAAUGGGUUGUAAAAAACCAGGAGAAAUGUUCUCCUUCCUUGUUUCUUGAAAGCCCACCAAGUCAACCUUGUGUGCAGACAAACAAAAUCACAUCUACCAGUUUUUCCAGAAUCCCAAAAAAAAAAGACCUAUCAUGGAGGAAUAUUAUUUCCAUGUAACAAGUCACAAUCCUUUGCCAGUUACCAUCAGGCAGUGAGUUGGGGUCCGCCCAUAAACUGAUUCAUGUACAACAAAAUCUCUUUCUUCUUCUUUUCUGUUUCAAAGAAUAGAUUUCCUUUCUUCUAGCUUCUGUUGUUUUGAUCAUAAUCAGUUAACAGUUCUUUAAAAAGUUAAUGAUUUGAUGAUCAUGGUUAAUUCUAUGAAUGCAGGUAUCCUGAUGAUCCGUACGACCGGAUAUGGGAAUCGGACAUGGUCCGGCGGGCCAACUACCUGGUCGACGCGGCGCCCGGCACCGUCAACGUGUCCACCGACAAGCCGGUGUUUGUCGCCACGAGCGAGAGGCCGCCGGAGAAGGUGAUGCAGACCGCCGUCGUAGGCACCCUUGGUGAGCUCACCUAUCGGCUCAACCUCAACGGCUUUCCGGGGGAUGGCUGGGCCUUCAGCUACUUCGCUGAGAUCGAGGAGUCCGUCGUCCCCGAGACGCGCAAGUUCAAGCUCUUCAUCCCUGGCCUACCUGACGUUAGCAAGGCCACCGUCGACGUCGGUGAGAAUGCUCCUGGGAAGCUACGGCUCUACCAGCCGGGCUACUAUAACGUGUCACUACCCUUCGUGCUGUCAUUCGCGUUCAGAAAGACCAACGACUCGUCCAGGGGACCCAUUCUCAACGCAUUCGAGAUCUACAAGUAUGUCGAGAUUGAGCCCGGGUCCCCGGACGCACUGGCCAUGGCAAGCCUCGCGUCGCGGUACACGUCCUUGGGUGAUUGGGCCAACGAAGGCGGCGAUCCCUGCUGGCCCUCGCCGUGGUCCUGGGUCAGAUGCUCCUCAGAACCACAACUAAGAGUGGUUUCAAUGUACGUUCAUUCACUUAACUCUCCAUUAUAUCGUUCCCUGAUCUUGUGCUAAAUGUUUAGUGUAUAUCUGAACUUUAACAACCUUUAGUUAUGAACAGAAAUCUUUCAGGGAAGAACUUGACAGGGGGCGUACCUCCGGAACUAGUGGCUUUGUCAUUCUUAGCAGAAAUGUAACAAUUUUCAUCAUUGCCUUUCUGCUCAAAGAAUGUUCUCCUGAUUAAACCAUGAAUUAACACCUCUAUUCUAUUCCUUCUACACAUGUCCUGAUAGAUCAUGAAUUUAUUUGCAGCCGACUUGAUGAUAACAUGCUGACGGGUCCGAUUCCAGACCUCGCCGCCUCUUCGAACCUCUCAAUCAUGUGAGUCACCUGCCUCAUUUCAGAUUUUUCACCUCCCACUACCACUGAUUGCGUCUUUCUCAUGAAUGGAUAGUUCAUUAAUUUUCUCACUGAAUAAAAAUGCAGUCACUUUGAGAACAACCAGCUUACUGGCAGUGUACCUUCAUAUUUGAGCAGCUUGCCCAAGCUCACCGAGCUGUGAGUCUUUCAUCAAACCCUUGCUUAAUUUCUGUCCAAUUAACUGCAGUUUGCCUGCCAUGUUAACACCUAGUCAGUUGUAAUACCAAAAAUUUGGUCAUAACAAAGAGAAUAGCAUGCCUUUGUGAACUGACUGCCCAAUAUUAUUCUACAUAUAAUGCAGCUAUCUUCAGAAUAACAAGCUGUCUGGGUAUAUCCCCAAGGCUCUGAAAAGCAGAGGCAUUAUUUUCAAGUCGGUAUUCUUUCCUUCAUACACUAUAUUAAUUAGUAUAUUAUUCCAGCAACGGUUAUUUAAAUAGCUUGCUGUCAGCUACUAAUAUUUAAGCUUUCCUCGCUGUAAAAUUUUCAGCUAUGCUGGCAAUAUGGACCUGAAGGCAGGGAAUCAAGAGAAGCACCACCUGGUAAUCAUCAUAUCUGCGCUGCUUGGAGUAUCCUUGUUGCUUGCAGUUUCCCUCUGUUGCUACGUGCUGACACGCAAAGCCAACAAGAAGAGCUCACCACCAGAAGGUCGCCUCCUCACAUCUUGUUAUAUUUUUCUUGUAGUGUUUCCUUCUGUGUGCGUGUGAGUGUUGUCAACUCUUGUAUAACCUUCACUCAUUCUGUGGUCCAGAUGACCUUACAAAGGCGGCCCCGCCCGCACACAAGCUGCACAAGUCAGACGCGCCGUCAUGCGAAAUCGCCACCGAGACUUGCCAUCCCUUCAGAUUAUGCGACCUCGAAGCGGCGACCAAGAAUUUUGAGAACAGGAUUGGUUCCGGGGGUUUCGGGAUAGUGUACUACGGGAAGCUGCCGGACGGAAGGGAGAUCGCGGUGAAGGUGCCGACGAAUGACUCGUACCAGGGGAAGAAGCAGUUCACGAAUGAGGUAGGCUGUUAAUUGGUUUGCCAGGAGAAUGCUAUUAUAGCCUUGGAUAUGGCGGGCGUGCGUGUCAAGUGAGUGAUUUUCGACAUCUGUUGCUGUUAAUUUGUUCAGGUGUCCUUGCUGUCAAGGAUACACCACAGGAACCUGGUGGCGUUUCUAGGUUACUGUCAUGAAGACGGAAGGAACAUCCUGGUGUAUGAGUUCAUGAUGAAUGGGACUCUCAAAGAGCAUCUCCAUGGUAAUUUUCCUUUUGUUCCCGUAUUUAUUGGCUCAAAUAUAAAAAGAAAGAUUUUCUUUAAAUCAGACAUGAUCAAACUGUGUGUUUGCAGGGCGUGACAAACAUAUUAGCUGGAUUCAGCGACUUGAGAUUGCAGAGGAUUCAGCAAAAGGUUAGUAUUCAGUAAAUUCAGACAUGAGCAUACGUUCAGAUAGCAGUAUAUGUUUGAACCUGUAGAAACUGAAUUUGGAUGCAGGGAUCGAGUACCUUCACAGCGGGUGCACGCCGUCGAUCAUCCACCGGGACAUCAAGACGAGCAACAUCCUGCUGGACAAGCAGAUGCGGGCCAAGGUGUCGGACUUUGGUCUGUCGAAGCUGGUCGCGGAGGAGUCCCACGCGUCCACCAACGUCCGCGGCACGCUGGGCUACCUGGAUCCACAGUCAGUGCUCGCUUCUCACCAGCCCUUUUUGACUCUCAGGCCAACUGAACCCAAAACUGCAGACUGCAGUUUCAGCUUGCUUGCAAAUGGCAAGGUUUCAGAUAGAUAGUAACGUAUGCAUGCGUGCUGCGUCUGUGGAACAUGCAGGUACUACAUCUCCCAGCAGCUGACGGAGAAGAGCGACGUGUACAGCUUCGGGAUCAUCCUGCUGGAGCUCAUCUCGGGGCGGCCGCCCAUCUCGGCCAUGACCUUCGGCGACCACUUCCGCAACAUCGGGCCAUGGGUCAGUCAGCAUUUUCUUGAGUCAUUCAUUCAGUGGUGUGGAAGCAGCUACUGACACACUGAAAACAACAAAAUGAAAAUGCUUUAGGCCAAGUUCUACUACGAGAGCGGGGACAUUGAGGCGGUGGUGGACCCGGCCAUCUCCGGGGAGUACCGGGACGUGCACUCGGUGUGGAAGGUGGCGGAGACGGCGGUGCGGUGCAUCGACGCGGACGCGAGGAGGCGCCCCUGCAUGGCGGAGGUGGUGAAGGAGGUGCAGGAGGCGAUUGCGCUGGAGCGUCCCCCGAGCGAGGCGUCGGCGUUGGAGCGGAGGGCGUCGUUCCCGUUCUCGCCGGCGGGGGCUCGGUCGGGCACGGUGCGGUCCCACGACAUGAUCAUGGACAACCUGAUGCGGGAGGAGGACGAGUCGUCCUCGUUCCCCAACACUCUCCGCCACCCCGAGCUGCGCUGAUCCAAGAUGAAGGAAACUUUGGCUUGGAACUGGCUCAAAAUAUUCUCUCUCUCUUCCCUGGAGUUUUGAUGAUGAUUUGUAAUUUGUAAACUAAUAACUGGUAUAGGAGUAGGGCACUUGGCUAUUUAUUUUAGACACACACACACACUUUCCAAAAAAAAAGAUUUGGUAUUUUUUAGAACAAAAAAGUCUCUUUUACGGGUAGAGCAAAAAGGUGUUGAUUUUGUAUUGGCACGCGGAGUGGAUUAGGAUUAGGCAGUGUGGAAAAAUAAAGAUUGUUUUUUUUUUUCUGACGGGCUGAACCCGUGCAGCACCAGAAAGCGUUGAAUCGGUUGGGCUUUGGGUGGGCCGAGCGGGGGCAGAGUGGUAAAUUCACAGUGAGGGCAGUCGGGGGUCGCGAUUAGGGUUCCCACGCGCCGCCGCCGCUAAAAAAACAGACACCUUUCUCGGCUAAGCUAAACCUCACCUCACUCGCUCCACACCUCAGAGCAGAGGAUAGAUAAACCCAAACCCCUGCGCCUCCAUUCGAACCAAACCCGAGCCGCCGCCCGCGGAAUCCAAACUUUUUUCCCUCCCUUCCCCGCGCGAUCAAGCGAUUGCUUGAUCAAGCCAUCGGAGCAGUAGUGGCCGAUCGGCGUAGCGGCAGCGAUCGAUCCAUAGAUGUCGCCGGCGGAGAUGGUCCAGGUGGAGGCGGCGGCGGAUCCUGAGGAGCGCGCCGCCUCCGGCGACCCCAAGGCCUGCGACGACUGCAACACCACCAAGACGCCGCUCUGGCGCGGCGGACCCAACGGACCAAAGGUACGCUCUUUACUUGUUUCCUUCUUCUUUUCCCCUUGUUCGAUCUGUCCUGUUGCUGUCGAUUCCUCUCCUGUUGCUCGCUUCGCUGCGAUCAAUGGUUGAAUGCCUGAUCCGACCUGAUUUGAAUUGAUUUGAUUGCAGUCGCUGUGCAACGCUUGCGGGAUCCGGUACCGGAAGAGGCGGCGGGUGGCCAUGGGGCUCGACCCGGAGGCCAAGCGGAAGCCCAAGAGGGACGACGCCAUCAAGGCUGCCGUUGCCGCAGCCGAGGCCGCCCAGGCUUCUAGCAAGGAGGAGGAGGAGGAGGAGGAGGACAAGGCCAAGGCCGGCGAGGAGAAGGCCGGCGAGGAGAAGGCGAGCAAGAAGACUAAGGCGAGGACGACGCACACCGUUGAGCUCCACAUGGUGGGCUUUGCCAAGGACGCGGUGCUGAAGCAGCAGCGGCGGCGGCGACAGAUGCGGCGGAGGAAGCCGUCGUGCCUGGGCGAGGAGGAGCGGGCCGCCAUUCUCCUCAUGUCGCUCUCAUCAGGCGUAAUAUACGCCUGAUCCAUCCUUGAUCGAUCGAUCCCUGAUGAAUAUGAAGAGGUGUUGUUGGCAUCAAAUCAAAUAAUCAUCUAUGCUAUGCUAUGCUAUAUGAUGAUGAUGAUGUAGUGGUAGAUGAGCAACCUACCUACCUACCUACCUGUGUUGGUUGCUGCUGCUUACCGUUGGUUCUUUGGUUCCUAGCUAGCUAGUGAGUACCCUGUGCUGUUAAUGUCUGUCCGUCUGUUUGUUUGUUCUAAUUAUGUACCGUCUGACUUAAUCUGCAAUGCAAAGUGACAAGGACAAGUCAAGUCAAGAGCUCCCCUCCCCUGUGCUGUGCUGUGCUGUGAUCAUCCAUCACCUUUUGUCAUGUUAAUCCUGGCUAGUGUUGCUGUCAUUUUAAUUCUCUUCAGCAGGGCAAAGCAGAGUAGGGCUGGAGUAGAGUGGGGCAGGGGGGUGAUGCAAGAGGUGAUGAUCAUCUCAUCAUUAAUUCCAUUCCAUUCCUGUGAAUGUGAUUGGGCACUGGAACUGUUGAGGUGUAUGAAUGUUUGAUGAUUCACUCAUGUUGCAAUGAUUUUCUUUUCUUUUCAUCCCAAAGGAAGGAACCAAAGGAAUGAACUUGGAAAGAAAGAAAGAAAGGAGGAGCAGUAAAGUCAUUCAGUCAGCCAUCGAUGCUUCUUCUGCUGCUGUUUAGUCUUUUACUUGCACCAGCAAGCAAGCAAACAAGCAAGGACCAGCAGGAUCUUUCUAGCAUCGCUAGAAAUGCUGGAGAUGCAGACUGCAGCAACCAAAAGUGGACAAGAAUGUUUCUUCUUCGGGAGCUUGCUUGCUCAUCCAUACAUCAAGCCUGGCUUUUGUCGCAGCAGCAGCACCAACAAUCUUCUUUAUUUAUCUGUGCACUGUUGCUGUUGCAUCCAGGCAGAUUCAGUGCCUGCCUUCCUCCUCUCAUCUGCUGGACUGGACUGCUGUCUGUGAACCCACUUAAACUGUUACCACUAUGUAAUGAGUAGAUUUACAUAACUCAACUAGUAGUAUGAUAAGUACGUACACUACAUAUUACUUUCUUUCUUUCUUUCUUUCUUUCUUCUACAACAAAGUAUGUAGAGACCAAUGUCAUGUCAUGCGAUUGAUUAUAAACAUUACCACAGCUUUAUAUUAUUUUCGAAAAAGGAUGGUCCUUGUGUGCAAGAAUCUGGACAUGGCCAGCGGUUUCAGGCAUUAUUUCUCCUUUUCUUCUGUUUUUCCGGAUAAGUUCAGACAGGACUAGUCUGUGGACUCAUUAUGCUAGACUAAUCCAGCAGGCAGCUAAACUGCCUCCGGUCCGGUCCACUAGUUGUGCAAUAUUAAAUUAUUAAGAGAAAAAACCUGACGACUGCAUACAUGCCUCUGGAUUUCCGGCGUGUCCACCUAAAGCUGGACAUUGACCGCCUCACCCAGUGACUGUCCCUCCGUCCGGGUUUAUUAGGCUCUCUUUUAUUUUAAGCUAAAGUUUGAUCAUCAAUUUAACUAGUAAUAAAAUAUAAACUAUAUGUCACGAAAAUUAUGUCAUAGAAAUCUAUUUCAAAUACAAAUCCAACAAUAUACUUUUUGUAGCACGUGCUUUAUAUACUUUUAGUUAAAUACAUGAUUAAAGUUGAAUCCAAAAUAAAAUAGGGCCUAAUAAACCUGGACGGAGAUACUAAUUUUGAUGGAGUCAAGGGCGCAUCCAGCACCGGAUCACUUAUUGGAUAUCGCCAAAUGUCUGUGGACACGUACUGACAUGUUUGCAAUGUGUCAACCGGACGGGAGGUCACCCAACAAGAGUCAUCAAAUCCCGCCCCUUAUCCGGCCUCCGCACUAUGACAAACUUAUCUAGAUCACCAACAAUUCAACCAUAUAUUUAAAUAGUUGCAAACGAAAGCAACAAGUUUCUUUCUUUUUUACAUCCAUCGAUUUUCAAAACCCACCAGUACGAUUGUCCGUGCCCAAGACCUUAAUUUUCGGCAGCAUUUUUACCCUUCUUUUGUGCAAAGCGUUUCUAUAUGGUAGCACAGUAGUCUUGAACAAACCUUGCCGCAUUGGGAUCUAACUAUGUCGCCUUCACGGACAACAACUUUUGCUCCUCGGAAGCAGCCUUGAUACCAAUCUUUUGCUCCUAGAGCUUACUCUUCUUCUUUUGCAUCUCCAUAAACAUGUCAAAACUCUCCGCAUUUGUUUCCUCAUCGGGGUCAAUGCGCUUGGCAGCCGCCUACUCCUUCUUCGCCAUGAUGAUUUCAAACUUCUCCGUCAUUUUGGCUGCCACCCCUUCUCGCUUCUCUUUUUCCAUCACCCACUUCCUCAACCUCGACUGAGUCACGCGGGUGACUGUUGCAAGCCCUCUGGCGGCUGGAUCAACACCAUCUCCAUUGGCUUUGGCAGCGGCGGUCUUGGCGGAAUGGGCAAUGCUUACCCACUUGCUUUCCCAUUCAACUUUAUCCAGCAAUGCAUCAACAUGAAGGGAUUCUUCUCCGUCUUUUUGUAAUAAUUAAGCGCACACGCCAGUAAUAGCAAAGCAAGACAAUGACAUGAUCAACAAGUUAUAACAUUGAGCAAAACAAUCAAAUGACCAACAAAAAGAGCAAUACGAAAGUGACGUCACCAAUUUUGAAUUUGUUUAUACGCAUUGGCAAUUUGUUGACAUCAUGUUGAAUCGUGUAUCAUCAAUGGCUUAGCAACCUCCGAUUGCGAUCAUAGAUCACUUCGUUCUUAUAGGAGUCAUCAUGUUUUUGCUCGUGAAACCAAUCGUGCACGCUUUACCAAAAAGCCAAGCCCUUUGCCCGCGCCUUGAAACGAACCAACACUGGCCAAGCACGCCAAACUCAACAAUUCAUCCUUCUUGUCCAUGUACACAUUGCCCCUCUUCUUCUUUGGUCGGCAUCCAACUACCGGGUGUCCUCCUCUGUUUUGUUGGUGUCCGCCCACGGCUCUUGCUCAGGCAUUGGCGUGUGGAGGUCCUCGACUUGUCCGUCUUUGUGGCCGGCACCGUUGUGGAUUAUGGUCAUCAUUGCCUCGCCGUUUGCCGCUGGCGAGCUUAGAUGAGGCAUUCCGACAAAAGUGACCGACCAGGCACCGCUGGGCGAGAGCUCCUUACGUCGAAUCCGUGACCGGAAAUGCAUCGACGACUUAGUGAAGACGUGGUUGGCCAGUGUGUUGUGUGUGUUGUGUGUUGGGGAAGCAAGCAAGCAAGCAGAUAUACAAGUCCCUCCUUUUGAAUGAUGGUCAGCGUCCAUUCCAUGGUACUACUAGUGCUGCAUAAGUUGUUAAGUUAUUUCCCAACUUGGAAAGAAAGGGGAAGAGGCAGUGGUAGUGAAGUCAUUCACUCAGCCAUGGAUGGUACCAGUGCUGCUGCUGCUGUUACAAGGACGAGGACCAGGAAUCCAGGAUCUAUCUAUCUAUCUAUCUAGCUAGUGGCUUUGUUGCUAGAAAUGGAUGGUGUUGCUGGACAGGCCUGUAAAAGUCGACAAGAAUGUUUCUUCUUCUGGAUGGAUUGUGUGCCUCCAUACUAGAGUACCAUACAUCAAGGCUGGCUUUUGUCGCAACAACACCAACACUCUUCUUUGUGCAACGUUCUAGUACUAUGUGAUUUCAUUAACAAAAAUGAACUAGAGCCCAUUAAUACAAAAGAUUGUGUAUGUAUACAAGCUUCAUUAUAAUACUACAAAUUUGAAAGAUGGUGGUCCAUUGUUCCAAUUGGAGGGGAUGGGACACGCGGCCAGCGGUUCAGGCAGUAUUGGAUUACAGAGACAAAAGUAAUUCUGUCUGUUAGUGGACUUAUUAUAUUAAGCUAAACUAAUCUUCUUAACCUUCUUAUCCAAACAACCCCUAAACUAAUCCAGCAGGCAGCUAUGUAUAUUAAUCUAAACACCUACUCUGGUGUUUAUCUUCCAAGCUGGCUUCCGUCCCACCAUCCACCCCGCAUGACGUGGCUCUCAUUUUCACCAUAUUCCCACCGUUGAGUUGGACCCAACAUGUGUAUUGAGGUGGCAAACCAAUUUCAAUGGGAGAAAAGUACACUAAUCUAGAAGAUAUUAUAUGUUAAUCACAAAGAUAAUUAUUUCCUAGUCCACAUUAAAUUUUCCAGCUAUGUAGAACAAAAACUGAUUUGAAAACUGCUUGUAAUAGACUGUUGGGAAGUCGUCGUACUAAGACCCCUUAGGACCAGCGCACCAGAACAGCAACCGCCACCGAUGAAUAGUAGCGUAGAUCGGAAGGAUCCAACCUGAAGACACACAAACGACGAACAAAUUCCAACAAAUCCACCAAAGAAAGAUCCGCCGUAGACACACUUCCACAUGCCCACCGACGAUGCUAGAUGCAUCACCGGAAAGAGGGCUAGGCGGAGAGAACCUUAUUCCAUCUUCAGGGAGCCGUCGCGGUCUUGUCUUGCCUUCCUGAGCAGGACACAAACACUAACAAAACUCGAAAACACAUCUAAAAACGGAGCCCUCCCACCGGCAAAGGCCGGGAUCCACCGCGGCUCCCUGGCCACCGGAGACGAGGCAGACCGGCGACGGCGCCGGCAGGAGGCGGUUCUUUUUCUUGUAAAAAGGAUAAAGUGCUUCCGUGUCCAUGUGAAGGAAACAUAAGUUGACAAUGAUGGACCAUUCUUAACAAACAAAAAAUAGCGGGUAUUAACAUAUUGGCCUGUCCAAAAAACAAAGUAACUAGGCACAAUUGCAACUGUUAAAUGUGAUGUGGGAUCCAAGUAAGGACAGGCCAUGCCAUUCUGAAAUAAAAACCAUGCAUCCUGGGUAUUUUAUUUGUUUAACAGAAGUAAGAUACUUCUUAGGAGGAGAAUAUAUACAAUACAUAAUUUCAUCCAUAAGUGAGAACGUCCUCUCGAGAUUUGUAUUGGUUUUUGUAAUAUCUCUAGUUAACAUUGUAUUAGUCUCCUUAAUUUUGUGUUAAGCAAUACAAAAGAUAUCAAUUAUGUCUAUUUUACAUAGAAACCGUGCAUUUCAUGCUCUUGUUUUCCACACGGUCGAAAUUACCCAACUACAGCGUGACGCGUGACUUGCUGCGCCAUUCUUGAGUCAUAAGUUAACCUUUUGUUUUUGCACACAAUUUAUUACAGUUGGCUCAGUGUGCCAUUUACCCAGGCUCGGUUGUCAUUUAAUAUGGUUGUGUCGUUGAUUACUGUUGUAGUUUUUAUGGUAUGGUCUUUGUGGUGAAGAGAGGUGUUAGUGGGUCACUUGAUGUUGCUUACAUAUCGCAAAGUUGAUGUCUACCGGUGGUGUUCAGAUGUGUUCUACACGGACACCAUGAUUACCUGCGAGUAGGCCCAUAACUCCUCAAGCAAAGAAGCACACGUUUACAAACAGAUCCCACAGAUGACCCCCAGAGCCCCGAUCCACCACAACCCAUCAUUUCUAUCGAGCUUAGUAACUUAGUAGAGAUGAUUGAAUGCUUCUGUCAAGUAUAUAUGAUACGAGUUAAAAAUGCAAAUCCUUUUUUACCGGGAAAGAAAUCAUUGUGCAACUACUUCUCAUAUAGCCAACCUUAUUUUUUAUGAAAUAGAAUUAUUAUUUUCUCUCAACAUGGGAUCGAGAAAAAACAACGUAAAAAGUUCACUCUGGAUUGAUUACCUAGGAGUGUUGUUAAGGAUAGAAAAUGUUCUGUGGAAAGAGGAUCAGGCUGGCAACGGAAACCUAGAUGCCACCCCAUAUAUUCCCCCUCUUGCCGCUCGGCGGGGAGGUCCUGAUUGGGGUGCGGCCCACUUGUGGAGGCGUUAAAGGGCUGUCAUGGGAUGUCCAAGGAGAUGUGUGCUCAAGUGGCGGCCUUCGUCAAAUGGUGCUGGGCGGUGGUGUUGAUGAUCCAGAAUGAUUUUCAGUGGCAGCCUGACCUGGCUAGGUCACCGGAGAAGAGAGUGUCGAUGCAUGGUCCUAGAUGGCAGCGAGCUUGACAUCAAACCCGAAUGUGUUUGUGCAGUGGUAUGGGUAUUUUUUUUCUCAGGUUUUCUUUAGUGAGCCUUUGAGUUUGGUUUGGGGUGGCGAGGCGGCAGCACUGUUCCAAUUUAAAUACCCCCCUCCCCCCACACACACUCUUUCCCCUUUGUGUUGGCAUGCUUAUCACCAGCAGAUGGUGUGUGGAGCUGUGUCUCCGAUAGGGCGUCUGGUAUUCAGUCGGUUUCGGUUUUCGGUGGGUUUUUGAUAAAGGACAAAAGCCUUAUCCUUGGGAGGGAUUGUGCACUGUUGCAUCCAUCAUCUUUUUUUUUAAGAGAAAAAGAUAGAGAGAGCUGCUCCAUCGUCAUCAUAUUGAUCUUGUUAUCCAUGCCAUGCAGAUGCAGUGGUCUUGCUCCUGCUGCAGUACUACUAGUACUACAUAGUACAUUCCAGAGACAGAAGUAAUUCUGUCAGUGGGCUGAUUAAGUUAAGAUAAUCCAGGCAGGCAGCUAGGUAUACUGCCUGCUACCCUGCCCACUUGUUGUGUAAAAAAGCAACAUCAAAAGAAGAAGAACUUGACGAUUGCUAUGACAUAGCGUCUAAUUUUGAUUCAGUUAACACCUGAUAAUUCUCCCGAGCGUAGCUUCAGUUUCAUCAUGACGUACGAGGCUUCGUUUUGACGGGCCACCCUUUUAGCGUUCCAUUGGACUGACCAUGUGGAUAGAGGUGCAAAUAGCUAUAUUUUCCAUGGAAAAAAGAAGAGGAACACGGCAACUUAUCAUGCGCGAUUCGUUCAUGACAGAGACGUGUCCUACUCUUAGUCAUCAACAGUUGACCUCAACCAACUGGGUUGGGUAGGGUUGGCUCCUGCUAGUACUACUUGCUAUGGUAUGGGUAAUAAGGGCAUCUUCAAUUCUGACCUUCAAAUUUCUUCCCGCAUUCGUCCGUGGACUAGGAGGACCAGUAGGUGGACAUGAAUACGGGUCAUUCAAAGCUACCACAUAUGCCCGGUUACAUUUCAAAUGAAUUUUAGCAAAAAUGAACCAAUUUGAUUCAAACUUAAACAAACCGGACGAUAUUCAUUCAUACUUGGAUUUUUUUUUUACAUAAAACUGGGUGUUUUUCAUCUAAAGCGAAGCAAAUUCUUUACAUUUAGACAUAUUUCAUCUAGACCGGACUCUACACCUAGCCUAAAAUGACCGCCGACGCCCGUUUCCCAUCUCCGACCGGCGAUGAGCCCCGAAAAAUGAAGCUUCGCCUCAUUUUCCGCCACUGUGAGCCCCGGGAACUGAAGCUAUCCGCCUGCACAUUGCCGCUAAGCGGCCUGGCUUCAACAAGAGGGGGUGAGCGGUACCCUUCCUGGGACCCGAGCACCGGCGACCUCCCAUGCUCUACUCUUCCUCGUUGCCGGCGACGCUCGCGGGCGUGCCGGCUUCGUGGUCAUGGCGGAGCUGGCGAUACCCUCCUCGUCGUCGGUCUUGUUGAACACCUCAUCCGCCGCCUCGUCCAUCUCCUUUACAGGAAUGUAAUACUGGAUGUACCGCCAACGGUCGGGGAGGAUUUCGUGGGCAAUGUGCUAGGAAUCGACCAGCACCUCCUGCUCGGCCACGUCCACGUCCGGCACUAUGACCCUGCCGGUGGCAAGUUGCUUCUCCAUGCGUUGGUGCUUGUCGAGGAAACGGAGGUUGUAGGCCUGGUCGGCCUGCGCCUGCCGGAACGUGGUCUCCCGCGCCAUGUUCGUGUAGUGGGCAUGGGCCUCGCCCAUGGUGAUGCCGACAUGCACCAGCGAGGAGGGUAGCGUCGACUCGUCCUCGGUCGCGUCCUCCAUUGGGACGUCCGGAGCGUCAGCCUCCGUCUGCCUGCUGGCCUGCCAGCCAGCUGCAAUGGCGGCGAUCUCUUUUUAAGAGAGAGAGCUGCUCCAUCAUCAUCACCAUCAUCUUGUUAUCCAUACCAUGCAGAUGCAGUGGUCUAUUUGUUGAUGUGUACCCACUUAAAUGAAGCCGCUAUGUGAGUGAUGAUUCACACAAAUGAACUACUUAGUAUGAUGGAUGUAAACUAAUCCAGUUUAUUUAUGAUCACAUCAAAAGACCCUCCCAUGCGUUCUUUUACUAUGCACUCAGCGUGUCAUGUCAUGUGUAUAAUUGAAUACUACAAUAGCAACUUUACUAGAGUAGUUAACCAUGUUAUACUACCUAAUAAUUAUCCUGAGUGUAACUGCUACAUGUCAUCCUGUAUGUUUUCAAGCUGGCUUCAGUUCCAUCAUGACGUACGUGACUAUCGUUUUGACCUUUUUUUUUUUUUUUGAGAAAUGACUAUCGUUUUGACUGGCCACCCUUUUACCGUUCCACUCCAUUGGGCCGACUAUGUGGUGGAUAGAGAGCCAUAUGAUAGAGGAGAGGUGCAAAUAGUUAGAUUUACCAUGGAAAAGAACGAGAUGAAAGGAGCGGCUAUGAUGCUGAUUCGUUCAUGACAGAGACUUGUCCUGCUCCUAGUCAUCAACAGUUGAUGUCUACCUUUUCACCACCCUUGAUGUAAAUUGCCACAGCAGCAAGGAACGGCAUGAGACCAUCUUAUUCACCAGGAUUUUUGAAAGGGAGCAAAACAAAUAAAAUAAAUCCCAAUUGAUCUAGAGGAAAUUAGACUUUAAUUAGAAAGUUCGAGCGGAAACUCCAACAUUGAUACUGUUUUUUUUUUCUUGCUAGUGUAGGAGUACACAAUAUUACCCAGCCAUGUACUCCCUCCGUCCCAUAAUGUAAGAUGUUCUUUUGACACUACAUGGUAGAAGAUAAGUGGAACUGACAUUGACUAUGUAUGUGUGUAUCGAUGUGACGCAUUUUCCUUUCAAUGAAUUAUUAUGUUGCUCUUCCCCAGGAACAAGUUCUCACUUAAAACUGGCUAAUAAUAUUCAUUUUGUCGUCAUGCCGGCAUGGAUAAGUGACAUCUCAAAAUUAGUGUUAUUCGUUUCAGUAUUUAUCUCUAACAUUGUAACCACUCCCAGCUAAAAUGAGUGAGGGUGUCAUCUCAAAAUUAGUGUUUAUUAGCUGUCUUCUUUUAACAAUGUUGCUUACUGUUCUUUCAUUCCCAGCUACCUCUAGUGUUAGUACUAGUACAAGUCAGUACUUGAUCGUCCUGAGUCAUAUUACUGCUAAUGUUUGUUUUGUUCUAAUCAAUGUACCUCCCACCUCCCCCCGCCCCAAGAUCGUCAUUUUAAUCUUGUGGCCCUGUUUUUUUUUCAUUUUCCUGCAGCAGAACAGAACAAAAGCAGAGUAUCGAAACAGAGGAGAGCAGGAGCAGAUUUCUUUUCCUGCAGCAGAACAGAGCAUGGAAACAGAGUAGGGGAUGAUGAUAAUCUCAUCUUCCAUUCCUGUGAUUGGGCCCUGCCCAUGUUUGUGUGUGAUCAUCAUCCAUGGCACUAAUUGUUUUCCAACUUGUAACUGCCAAGGAAGCAGUAAAAUCGUUCGGUCAUCCAUGCUACUGCUGCUGUUCAUCAUCUUUUUUUUUUUUUCCUUUCUCUUCUAGCAUUACAGCAUUACAAAGUGGUUAUAUAGGGGUGAAAUAAGUCGAUUAGCGACAUUUUCAUACUACUAAAGAUGGCUUUUCACGCCCAGGUUGAAGCACUGGUUGCCCCCACCACGACGGUGGCGAAUGAUGUGCAUAGGGCACAUGCAUAUGUGAUGAAUCCACUUGAUCUCUACUCGCGGUGGUGUACGGUCUGGUGACCUCGUCUUUGCCCCAUUCCUGCCCGUUGUCGCCGAGGUCGGGGACAUCUUUUUUCCACGGGGGGAAUGCCGAAUAUGGUGCGGUUCGUCUCGGUGAACGGCACCAUGUUCAUGUCGAAUGUGCAUCAUCUGAUGACUGAUGUGCUGCCUUUGCAACGUGAAGUCCCCAUGUUUUUCCUCGAAAGCCUGCCAUCUGGAUACAGUAACUGGCCAUCUCUUUAGCAUGUGGACGGAGGUGCAAAUUAUUUGCAUGGAAGAAGAAGAGAAGAAGGUACAAAAAGUAGCGGCAGCUUAUCAUGCGCGAUUCGUUCAUGGCAGUGAUGCGUAGUUACCAGGAGUUGGCUUGAACCUAUUUGCCAUUGGUUGCUAGAUAUUAUAUACUCCUUUGCCAUGAUAUUGGUAAUUAAUUAGUUAUUAACUGGAGUUAGUUAUUUCUACCACCCCAGUCAAGCAUUUUCACCCUUGUAAAUUCACUGGAGUAUCACCAAAAGAGGGACCGCUUGAAAUCAUCUUCACACGAUUUUCGGUUUCUAGAAGAGGUGAGAGCAACAUACCAUAAAUCUAGAUAAGACGUUACUCACCAAGUUUUAUAACAAAAUGGUAGCUCGGCCGAUCGUUUGUUGGAGCAUCUACAGCCGGAACCCUAAAUGCGAAAUCCACACUUCUUCCCCGUAUGAUGGGGCUGUCCGCAAAUCCAAAUAUCAAUACCAAAUAUGGGGAGGAUAUGGGGAUGUCCGAGCAUGUCCGGGCAACCCUCCACGGACCACUUUUUUUCUUUCUUUAUUAUUUUUUAAUCUUUCUCUCUCCAUCUCCACAUAUUCAUUUCUUGCAGGUUAUUUUUUGGGCCACUACACUGAUCUGUAUGUGGUCGCUACUCACUCCGACGGAUGCCGAGGAGCGUAUGGUUACUGGGUAUAUCCGGUGGGAGACGGUAGCACGGGCUAUCUUCAACCGGUUUGGAUAGCGUUCAUGUAAUAGGAUAGGGGUUUAGAUGUAAUAGGAUAGGGGUUUAGCUUCCUAUCUAUUUUUAUUCCGCCGGUUGUGGCUAUCCUGUUUCAUGUUUUUCUUGCUCUUUGUGAGCCUUUGUACCUUUUUGAGACCUGGAGACUUGGUUGAAUUUUUUGCUUAUUAAUAAGAUGGCCGCAUGCAUCGUUCUGAUGCAGAGGCUGGGGGAUAACCUCCUUUUCGACAAAAAAAAUCUCCAUCAAGCACAUACAUUUGACCAAACAAUUUGAGGAGAAUGUAAGGAGCAUGGUUGCAUGCAUGCAUACAUGAAGGGUCAAAACGGACGCGCGCAAUCAUUGACCGGGCACGCCCCCGGACGUUUGGGGAUCGACAUUACCCGAUCAUGGUUGUAGAUGCUCUUAACGCGUACUAUAUGCAGAGGAAAACAACGAGUCUAAAAAAAGAUAUGACAACGACUACGAAAUACGUAAUCAAGGCAUGAGAAACGGUGUCCACUAUUGUUGUAUGUGUUUUAUUUUAUUUUCUUUAGAAAAAAACCAGCUUGGAUAUCUAACAGACAGACAGAUCUGAGUAUCCAUCUUUGGUUUAAACAAACCAAGAUGGCAUGUGAUGUGGAAACCAAAGCUGGGAUACAACAAACAGAUCCAAGGAAGGACAGGCCAUGCUGUCCUUUUACAAUAGAAACAACAGCUUCAGGAGUGUAUCUGUUUAUUUUACUACUACACCUAAGACCUCCCGCAGUGAAAGUAUCAUAGCAACAAUAUCAUACAUGUUUUCGCCCGGUUUUCCUUUAAUUAACCGGGCAAAUCUCUUCUUCUUAAUCAAUGAAAAUGGCAAAUCGUUUGCCUCGUUUCAAAAAAAUACAUGCUUUGAAAUCAAUGCAAAAGAUUUGCCUCAUUCAUUAGUUAAGGUGGAGUUUAGAGUACAUGAAACCGGCUCCGCAACAUAUAGCAAGAUCAUGCGGUUAGGAGAAAAAACAAAAUAGAAAGUGAACAAGUGCGGUGCGGUGCGGUGCAGUGCAGCGGAGGGGGCCAACGACCAAACACUGCUCUCUUGUGUUCCUUUCCUUCCUCACUGUGGGUUGGGCAGCUAAAAUAGCCAGCUUUCUUGCUUGUCAUCAACUGUUGUAUCCACAAACUCCAAGAGAGAGAGAGAGAGAGAGAGAUUCCAAAUCUAAACGAGGAAUAGAACAAGAGAAGCUUGCUUUUGUCGCAACAACACCAACACUCUUUCUGCAACGUUCCAUCAUCUUUGUUCUUUCUUUCUUUCUUUCUUUCUUUUUUAAGAGAGGCUGAUCCAGUGAUGUACUCCCUCCGUUCUUAAAUAUAAGUCUUUUUAGAGAUUCCACUAUAAACUAGAUACGGAUCAAAAUGAGUGAAUCUACACUCUAAAAUAUGUCCAUAUACAUCCGUAUGUAGUUUGUAGUGGAAUCUCUAAAAAGACUUACAUUUAGGAACGGAGGGAGGGAGUAUGUGAUUUACAAAACUCAACUAGGGUUGCAUAAUACAGAUUAGUUGAGUCUCUCUCUCUCUCUCAUCACGUCAAAAGGCCCAUGCUACCUCCCUUCACAGCUCAACUACACAAUGUCAUGUCAGAGUGUACCAAUGUCAUGUCAUGUGCAUACAUAUAAGCGGUUCAGGCAAUCCUGAUUUCUAGACACAAAAUUAAUUCUGUCAGUGCACUUGGUAUUAAGCUAAUCUAAUCCAGCAGGCUACUGGCCCGGCAACUCACUUUUUGGGUAACCUGACGACUGCUAUACAUGCACACGUCUCUCAAUUUCCACUCACAUUUUCAUUCAGUUAACUGACUGACUGAUUCAGUUUCAACAUCCACCUCGCAUGACGUUUUUGACCAUGUUUUUACCGUUGCGUUGGUCCAUCUCAUCUGGACUAAGGUGCAGAAUUCUACAGCACAUGGAAGAAAAGUACGUAUAUGGUACAUGCAGAAAGGAUAGGAGAGGCAACUUAUCAUGACCGAGAUGUGUACCAACUUGGUUGGGCUGGCUCCUGCUAGUAAUUAAUUCGAGUGCCCACUCAAACCAUUUCACCCUACUAAAUUCCUACAAGAGUAACUAAGGAGCCUUCUUCAGCUGAAUUCCUACAAGAGAGCAAAACACCCCCAAUCCCAAUCUCGAGGGUAUUACACAUUUAAUCACAAAGAUAGAGUGGAAGCGUUGUGCCGUUGUGGCGGUGUGUAUCUUACAAACUUCUCUCUUUUUCCCAAGAUACAUUUUUUUCGUGGUACAACCUUGUAUAUGUGGCCGAAAUCGCCUCACUCUUUCCCCACAGGCUGUCCGUCCUUCCUCCCUCUCUCUUUUUCGGUUCACCACCCGACGGGCAUCUUUGGCAAAUCUCUUUGCCGCUACUGCAAUUCAUUUUCACAUUGGGUGGGCUCGUGUCAUACCCCACCUUUGUUAUUGCCAAUAUGCCCUAAAUUUUAGCCCACCUUCAAAAAUAGCAUUGCGGACAUGUCAGAGCUGACACCGGCUUUUUGGAGACAAAUAUGAUGGUACAAGAAGGAUCAAUAUUUCUUAAACAGUUUGACUCCGAGAAAAAAAAACUAAAAACAGUUGAGUGAUUGCUAAGAAAACCAUUUAUUUAAAAAUUAUAAGCACACUUCCGCCCAGAAAUGUUGCAACACGGUGAUUUCUUUCAUCCUGAAUGAGUGAAUGUAAGAAAAUUACGUUUGUUAAUGACAAUGAGCGAUAAAAGGGUAUAUGUAUGACUGUUUACAUAGAAAUUAUAUAUAUAUAGUAUACUAGCUGCCCUCGGUAAUAUACACCUUCCCGUGAUAGAACCUCAUAUAUGAAUGUCGAAAUGGCCCAUAGUGUUCACAUAAGCUGACCUUCCCCCUCUCUCUCCCUCAUCCAGUCCAUAGGCUCUCUGCCGCUUUGCUCUCACCUACCCUGGUAUGACAUUGUCGACCCUCUUCCCUCUCCCCCUCUUUCGGACCACCGUAUCUCCGCCGCUUGCUCUCACAUACACUGGUAUGACAUCGGCAACCCUCCUCCCCAUCUCCCCCUCUUCUGGCCCACAGGCCCUGUGCCGCUUUGCUCUCCCCUACCCUGGUAUGAGGUCAACGACCCUCCCCCCUCUCUCCCUCUUCCGGCCCACCGGCUCUAUGCCGCUUUGCUCUCACCUACCCCGGUGUGACGUCGAUGAGGGUCUAUGACAAACAACUCCACCGCAUGCUACCUCCUCCCCUCUUCUUAUCACCACCAAAUACCUUUAUGCCGCCACCUUGUUCUUGUUUUUUUGCAUCGCUGUCGACUUAACAAGCAUAUACCACCGAAAUUAAGGCCUUCGUGCAUCACCUUCAUUGUCGGCAGUGCAACGUACAUUUCAACCCAUCUUUGCCAUCACUACCAUGUACAUGUCAGCCAUCACUACCAUGUACAUGUCAGCCAUCUUUGUCAACACUACCACGGACGUGUCGACAACGUCUUUGGCUCGUCGGACACGAAAUAAGAUGGUGGACGAAGAAUAUGUUUUUAAAAUCACAUGAGAGUUAAAAUAAAAAUAAAAAUAAUCAAGUGUCUGUUAACACAACCAUAUAAAUAAACAUCGUGCUCACAGUUCCACCUAAUUAACUGACGCAAUGCAAACCCUGAGUGAAUGUAAGAAGACUCUGUUUUCUCGAGAUAUGUAUGUUGUUGGCAAGUAAAUAAGUAGCUAAGAUGGUCAGCAAUAUCCAUGGUACGCAAUAAGUCAUUUCCUAACUAGGAAAAUAGAAGAACUAGUAGAGUCAUUUAGUCAUCAAUGGGAUCAGGACUAGCCACCUAACAUUGCUCUGCUAGAAAUGGAAGGUGUGCCAUGGUUGAUAGAUGCUUGCGGAAGUUGACAAGAAUGUUUCUUCUUCAGGAAUGUGGCAACUUGGGUUCUUAUCAUCCACUCAUUGAGGCUUUCAUCCUAAUGAAAACAUUUGCACAAUGUUCCAUGGUCCCGUUAUCAAUGUAGUGGUCUUGCCCGUUGACCUGUAGUGCUACUACAUUCUUGUCGAUCUUUAGUAAGCUAAAAUAAUAAUGAAAGUAUCACCCUUGCCCAAGAAUACGGGGAAGAAGUGGUGCAUCCCUGUUGUUGCCGAACUAGCUCGAGCACUCGAUGGUGAUCGCCGGAGACACGAUCAGGAGGAGGAAGAUGGACAGAGAGAUUUUUCCGGGCGCUCGAACACCCCUGCCGCACGAACGGCCUCACUGUAUUUCUCCUCGAGCACGAACUCGGUCUCCUCCGCACCAUGAGCGCACAUACACUCCUAGAGGCUACAUCAUCUCUCUCUGGCUCCUUUCACGGCACUGCACUCUGGUCCCUUAUAUAGGCAGGAUCUGUGCGUAAGCCACUAACACCACCUAGCACUCACGCACACACACAGGCAACUACCUAAUCCUAUUUCUACUGCCACUAACUCACGACCUACAUGCACGCACACCACACCGGCCAUCCACGCAUGACCCGGCCAAACACAUGGGCAUGCAUGAGCUAGCUAACAACCUGGUCAUGAACUUUUUUUAGAACGAAGGCUCAAGAAGAGCCCGGCUUUGAAUUAACAAAGCCAUCAACCGGCCUGAUCAUGGACUUGCGCCAGGCACGCACGCACCCACGCGCGCACCUAACGUGGUUUACUCUAACAAUCCCAAGGAAGGGAACACAAGACGAGCAGCAACUCGGGCACUAUUCCAAGAGACAAAAGGUAUCCAAACUUAAUUAAUUAAUCCAACUAAACUUGAGAUACGGAAGAGAAAAGAAGAAGACUAAGCGGUGGUCUGCCUGUUGAUCUCCACGUAAAACAUGGCUGCAUCCGUUCCGCGUGACGUGUCUAUCAUUUUUAUUCUUCAUAUAAUUAACUGGCCAUCUUUUCACCGUACGUCCCCUUGGAUCGACAAUGUGGAGGUGCAAUUUUCCAUGGAAAAAAAGGAGGUAGUGGCAACUUAUCAUGGAUUCGUUCAUGCCAGAGAUGUGUCCUAAUCCUAGUCAUCAAGAGUUGAUCACAACCCAAUGCCAUUGGUUGGUUGAUUGAAUACUCCUCCUCCUCCUUUGCAAUGAGUAAUUACUCCUAGUAAGUAGCUACAAAGUUAGUACAAAGUUGAGUCAUCUAUUUUGAAACGGAGGGAGUAGUUAGUUGUACCGCGACCGGUCAAACAUUGGUGAAUCACUGCAGUACUAGUAGCAACAAAAGAGCAAGCCCAACGAACUCUGAAAGAUGGACAAUGGUUACUCAAGCCUGCAUGUUGACCGACUUGCACAAGAUGAAGAGUAAAAAACCAAAACAUAACUAGUUCACAACCAACAACAUGACAAAAGUUCUAUAUAUGCCUUUUAAUAUCGACCUAAAACAUGACUUAUGCAUGCUAAACCCCCUGAGCUUAACUGUCAUUCAUCUCGCAUGAUCGAUGCGUCUGUCGUUUUGACCGGAUAUAUUAACUGGCCACCUUUUUAGCAUGUGGAUAGAGGUGCAACAUUUCCAUGGAAGAAAAAGAGAAGAAGGUAGAAAGGAGAAGCAACUUAUNNNNNNNNNNNNNNNNNNNNNNNNNNNNNNNNNNNNNNNNNNNNNNNNNNNNNNNNNNNNNNNNNNNNNNNNNNNNNNNNNNNNNNNNNNNNNNNNNNNNNNNNNNNNNNNNNNNNNNNNNNNNNNNNNNNNNNNNNNNNNNNNNNNNNNNNNNNNNNNNNNNNNNNNNNNNNNNNNNNNNNNNNNNNNNNNNNNNNNNNNAGGGUAGGAUCGUGUUUUCUAGAAACUUGUUUUUUUAGGCAAGGGGCGCUCGCCGAUUGGGCCGACCCAUUGGCUGCACUGCCCAAGCACGCCUGGUAAAAAGUUGGAAAAAAGAGAUUUUGAGAAUCAAACCCCAAACCUCACGCAUGAUGUAGAGAGUUCAAAGCCAGUGGAGCUAGCAAGCCUGACUGAUUAAUAACUUGCGAGGAAUUAUAUGAACUAGUGGCAGAUCCGGUUUUUUUAAACAAUUCCUUUUUUUUUUGAAAUUCGAACACUUUUUUUCUUCUGAAAACGCAAACUUUUUUUGCGGAUCCAUAUUUUAAAAAAAUUGUUCAUGUUUUCAAAAAAGUUUGGAGUUUCAAAAUUUGCCCGUGCGGACAAUUUUUCAGAAAAGUUUCGGAAUUUCAAUUUUUGUUCUCACUUUUUAAAUGUAUUCAUAAUUUCAAAAUAUGUUCCAAUUUUUCAAAGAUUAUUCAUGGUUUCAAAAAAAUGUUCUCAUUUCAAAUAUUGUUCACAGUUUCAAAAAAGUUUGCAUAUUAAAAAAAUCAUGGAUUUUGAAAAAUAUUAGUGUUUCCAAAUUCUUUUUUACGAUUUUGAAAAAGUUUUCGUUUUCAAAAAUUGUUCACGGAGUCUAAAAUAUAUUCGAUAUAUGUAGUCAUAAACGACUAGCGCUGCAAUUAAUCAAAAGCAGCUGGUAGACGGUGUGCACUCAUUCAAUUCUCUAGGGGGGUCGUGAGUUCAAAUCCUGGUAGCGUCUGUGUUUUUGUGAUUUUACGGCCUGCUCUGUUUCUAUUCCUAUUAGUGGGUCGGCUCAGUAGCGGGUUCUUUCCUGCACAACGUACGUAGGGUCUGUGUGUUUAUUAGGGUUUAGUGCCCAGUAGUACAGAUUAUCUUAUUUAUUACCAUGCAUAAUACAAAGUAGCAUAGUAUUUAAUAUGAUACAGUAUCUAUUUAUGCUACUUUAAAUCUCUCUCUUCUUUAAUUUUUUGUCACAUUAGCGUGUUUGCUAUUCUCAAUUGCAUGAUACCGGCUAAGAUAUCACCACUAUGACCAGUCUAAAUCAUAGGAGUAGUAGCAACAGGGAGCCCUUGAAAUCAGCUUCACCUGAGUUUCUUUCUACCUUUCUACUCCCUCCGUUCCUAAAUACUUGUCUUUCUAGGCAUAUUUUAGAGUGUAGAUUCACUCAUUUUACUCCGUAUGUAGUCACUUGUUGAAAUGCCUAGAAAGACAAGUAUUUAGGAACGGAGGGAGUAGAAGAGAAGAGAGCAACACACACUAGAAAAAUAUCUGGACAACAAGACGUUACUAACCAAGUAUUACAAAUUAAUUAAUCGUAACUCGAGCCAUGCAAUAGUUAAAGGCGUGAGCUUGGGUGUCACAACUGUAGUCUCUUCAAGAAAAAGAAAACAGCUUGGCUGUCUGUAGCAUACAAAUGGGAGUAUUUAUUUUUAAUAAACAAUACUACAAAACAUGGUACACGUAUUUCGGCCAUUAAAUACGAUGUUGAAGCCAAGGCUGAUACAACAAAAACAGCAGAUUGAGUAUCUAGUUAUUUUAUCUAACGGAUGGAUGGAUGGAAGUAGUAUGUAAGAUGCUUCUUAGAAGCAGAAUCUAUACUGUAUAUAAAUAACUUUGCAGUGCGGACAAAAAACCAAAUGACCAAACAAAGGCACCUAUCCCUUCCCUUUCUUUCCUGUGGGCAGCUUUCUCCGGCCCUUUUCUAUCCACAGUCACUGCAGAAACCAACACAGACACAAAGAGAAAGUGGUGUAACCCAUUGCGGUUAGUAGGGGUGCAGGCGGGCAUCCCGCAUAAACAUGUGAUUAGUUCAAACCAAGCUAAAUCUGCCCGGAGAAAUUAUAACCAAGCUCACAUAUUUUGACUUGGAAGCGGGGCAGAUCGGGCGCCGCUCUGCAUCCCUAGCGGUUAGCUCUAAUUAAUCGUUUUACUGUGUUGACAUGAUAAACAAUGAGUUUGUAAGUGCACAUGUGGCAAAAAAAUAAAAUAAAAGGUCGAUCACGUCAGUUGACUGAUAAAAACUGCCAAUAUCCACAGCUUUUGUUGCUCGUUGCAAUUUUUGGUUUAAAACUUAGCAUUUAAAAAUUCCAUAAAGUUAGUAUUGAGUUGAGAACUUUUUAGCUUAUCUGGACCACAGUUUUUGAAGAUAUUGACAACUUGUUGGCUCAGUAGGAUUUUUUCUUUCAAAAUUAUUUUAAAAUAAUAAAAAAAAUAAAACCAUAAAUGUGUCAAUUAUUGAUCCGUAAAAUUUCGACUCGUGUAUCAAUUAUUGACCAUAGUUUGCACACGCCAACUAUUAGGAAUCAUGUCAUUGAUUAGAGUUAUCUACAGCGGAUUACACCAAUACGUGCUAUCUACAAACCUGAAGGGUAGGUGUUUUGAGCAAAUUCGAUUCCAAUAGUUGGUGUUUUGUGCAAUAGAAAGAUGCUUGCAAAAGUGGACAAGAAUGUUUCUUCUUUAUUUGUGCACUGUUGCAUCCAUCAUCUUUUAUUUAUUAAGAAAAGGAGAAAGCGAGAGCUGCUCCAUCGUCAUCAUAUUGAUCUUGUUAUCCAUGCCAUCCAGAUGCAGCGGUCUUGAUCUGGUUGAUGUUAAGAAAUGAAAUGAACUUGAACUACACUACAGUAGUAUGAUACUGCAGGCAGCGUUCCAGAGACAAGGCUAAGUCUGUCUGUGGAGUUAUUAAGCUGAACUUCAGGCAGCCCACUUGUUGUUGUGUAAUACUAAAGCAAAAGAAAAGAAGAAGCGUGCUACAUGCCUCUUGAUUUCCUGCGUAAAACUGGACACUGAAGACCUGACUGAUUGACUGACUGACUGCUAAUUUUGAUUCAGUCAACUAUGCAUGCUAGCUAGUUAAACUACCGUUCAUCUCGCAUGCAUGAUGUGCUGAUGGGAUUUUUUUCUCCAAACAAUCUCAAUAGAUGGGAACGACGGAAGAAGAGCAUCCAUGUGCAGAAAAAUAAGUGUUGUGUUGAUGGGAUUAACUGGCCAAUCUUUUUAACGUUGCCCUUGUCCGACUAUGUGGAUGGAGGUGCAAACAAAUUUUCCAUGGAAAAGCUAAGUACUUACACAAAGAUUAGUAUAGAAAGAGGCGGCAACUUAUCAUGGGCGAUUUGUUCAUGACAGGGGUAUGUCCUAGCUAGACGCUAGUCAUCAUCAGUUAACCCCAACCCAUUGCCAUUGGUUGGUUAAUUGAUACUCCUUUGCUUUAACAUGGGUAAUUAAUCAUACUAACUAGUUUUAUCAUCCAGUCAAAAAACAUUUCAUCCCUUUCAGAAUUAUGCCUCUACGAACAACAUGAGGCCUUGAAAAUUGAAAUCAGCUUAUGUGUCCGAUCGGGACGACCCAAGGCAUAGCUCACCAGGUUUUACAAUGUUUUCUACUAGUGUGGGGAUGUAGAGUUCCGGCAGGGGUGUGGCAAGGUGGCCGGGGUGAGUGAGCGGCGGCGAAGGCAAGAGAGAAAGAAGGAAGGAGAAAAAAUAGAGAGGAUGGAGUCGCGGCAUCCGGGAAGGGUUUUGGGUGGGCCGGGGGUGUCAGAUUCCUAUGUUUCGGGUGUCCGGACUCCUGCAAGGCGGUUUGCGGGUCCGCCUUAGAGACGUUAAUUAUCAAGUUAAAAGGCCUAGUAUGCAUCAUUUUCCUUCUGUUGUAGCUGAAUUCGUUCAGCGUGCACGAGAUGUAUUUUCUAACGACGUUAAAGUCAUGUCAUGUGUACAAGAAUAUAUACCAACUUCAAACUAACGAGAUAAUAAUGAAAAGAUGGUUUUGUGCAAGAAUCUCGGGAAGAAGUCUGGAGCAGCAUCAAUUCAGGCUAUAUCCCCAGACACAAAAGGUGUCCACUGUCCAGACUAACUAAACUAAUCCAACUACGCCUGUCGCACAAGCACAGAAGAGAAAAAGAAAAGAAGAACCUGACGACUUGGUGGUAAAACAUGAUUUGGCUAUCUAAGUAAAUAUAUGAUGUGGCUAUCAUUUUGACUGGCAUCUAUGAUGUGACACAAAAGGUGUCUAACUAAACUAAUUCUGGAGAUGCCUCUUGAUUUUCCACCUAGGUAAAACAUGACUUAUGCAUACUAAAAUAGAACUCCGCAACUUAGAUGUCAUCAAUUCAUCUCGCAUCUUUUCCCCAUGUGGAUGGACAUGCAAGUUUUCCAUGAAAAAAAAGAAGACAGAAAGGAGCGACAACUUAUCAUGCGUGAUUCAUUCAUGAUAGAGAUGUGUGGUUGGACACUAUUCAUGAGGUUAGUUACAAUGACAAAAGUUUAGUUAGCCAAUGACUACGUUGUGUAUGGAUCGGUUGCAUACAUAGCACAUGCGCCAUGAAUCUAACUUGCCACAAAAAAAUAUGUGUAAAAUAUUGGUCAUUUCUUCGUCAUGCCGAGUAGGACUACUCCUGCUAACUCAGAUUUCCACCUAAAACCUCCUUAAAUUGACUGUCAUACAUCUCGCAUGACGUGGCUAUCAUCUUGACCAGAUUAAGUGCCCAUCUUUUUUACCAUGUUUGUCGAGGUGCAAAUUUUCCAUGGAAAAAAAUGAAGAGAGAAAGGAGCUAGUGGCAACUUAUUACGCGCGAUUCGUUCAUGACAGGGAUUUGUCCUAGUCAUCUAGAGUUGACCUCAACCAAUUUCCACUGGUCGAUUGAUACUCCAUUGCUACACUGUUUGGUAACUAAUCCUAUCUAGUUAGUUUCAAAACAGACUUUCACUCUGCUUUAUAGAUGCCUUCAAAAGUUGACAAGAAUGUUUCUGUUCUGGAUUGUGUGAUCAUCCUUCCAUUCAAUCAAGGCUUAGCUUUUGUGGCUGCUACUUUUCGUGUGCACUGUUCGAUCAUCUUGUUAUCCACGCAGAGGCAGCGGUCUUGUUCGUUGAUCCACAUGACUAUUACAUUUUUAUUGAUAUCGUUGAUAUGAACUAUUACAUUCUGCCGACGUACGUUUAAGCCAUGUCAUGUGUACAAGCAUAUAUAUUAAUAUACCGCUUUGAACUAAAACAAUAAUGAAAAUAUGGUGCUGACCUCAACCCAUUAUUGGUUGGUUAAUACUCCAUUGUUAUGCUUGCCCAGCAGUAAAACAUUUUCACCCUUGUAAACUACAGUACUCCUCAGCGCUACAAAAGAGGGAGCCCUUGAAAUCAGCUUGAACUCAAUUGCUUUCUUUCUAGAAGAGAAGAGAGCAACAUACAUGAUUAAUCUAGUUCAGCAAGACGUGACUCACCAAGGUUUGCCAUUAAUUACUGGUAGCAUGGGUUAACUCAUGGUACUAUAUGCAUAGGAAAAAGAUAAGCUGGCAAGGACAAUGCAUGCAAUAGGUGGUCUAUGGACAUGGAUGUAAUUUCUUUUACUUCUAGUGUUCUUUGUACUGUCAUGAUGUUGGAUGAAUAGAUCGGAAGUUUUUCUGGCAAAAAAAAGUUAUCUCUGCCAUGGUAUUGGGGCAUCUACGUACAAUGCUAGACGCUUAUCGGACAAAAAACAUAACCUUUUGAAAGCAUAUGCAUGUUCUCUCUUUCAGUGCUAGGGGCUUACAUGUGCUAAAUACGGAAUAGAAAGAAACGCCAGCCAAGCGCUUCAUGUUAGUUUCCUCGGUGAAUUAUUCAGCGCCGAUGCCACACCCCACCCGAGCGUUGACGACGCAACUGCCUAUUGAGAUGCAUUUAGUAUCCUUUAACACGUUUGUUAGUGGCACCAGCGAAAAAAAUAUAUAUCAAUUAUGCCUACUUACAUAGAAACUAUAUAUUUGGCAUUCUAUUUUUUUUCAUAUACACUUUUCGUGAUACGGCUUGACAGUUUUGCUCAUUGCAUUCCCAUAAACUACCUCCUCCCCCUCUCUCCUCCCCGGCCCACCACCUCUUUGAUGCUUUGCCCUCACCUACUCAGGUGUGACAUCGAUGAGGGUCUUUCACACACCACUCCACCGCAUGGUACCUCCUCCCAUCUUCUUAUUGCCACCGAAUAGCUUGAUGUUGCCACCUUGCUCUUGUUUUUUUGCGGCGGUGUUAGCUUAACAAGCAUAUACCACUCUCCUACACCUCAUAUUCGUAUUGGGGUUCCAGCUGGCAUUGUGCUUCACCAUCGUUUUUUUUGAGCAACGUACGUUUCAACGCAUCUUUGCCAGCACCACUGCCCACAUGUCAGCCAUCUUUGUCAGCACUACCAUAGAUGUGUUGGCACCACCUUUGGUUCGCUGGACAUGGAUGAAGAAUCGAUUUUCCUUCAAAAGUUUGUACAUGAGUUUUUUUUAAAUAACUGAGUGACUAUUAACAUGGCCACUUAAAUAAACAUCAUACUCACAAUUCAACCUUAUGUUGCACAAUGAUUUCUUUCACUCUGAGUAUUAGGGCAUCUACAUACAAAACUAGACGGUCAUCGAACAAAAAAAAUAGAAAAAUAAAAGCAUAGAAGUGUUCUCCAUUUCAAUGUCAGAUGCUUACAUGUGCUAAAUACAGACUAUAAACAAAAGUCAGCGAAGUGCUUCAUGUUAGUUCCCUCGAUGCAUUAUUUCGUCUCGAUGCCACACCUCACUAGGCAGUUGAUGGCGCAACUACCGAUCGAGAUGCCUUUAGUCUCCUUCAAAAUUGUUAGUUAAUGGUAUUGAGUGAUAAAAAAGAUAUCAAUUAUGCCUCGUUACAUAUAAACUAUAUAUUGGUAUACAUAGCUGAUUUUCCCCAUAUACACUUUUCAUGAUACAACCUCAUAUAUGAUGCUCGAAAUUGCUCACUGCAUUCUCACAAGCAGAUCCUCCUUCUCCCUCUUCCCCUCUCCCGACCAACCACCUCUCUGCCGCUUUGCCCUCACCUACUCUGGUGUGACAUCGAUGAGGGUCUCCGACACACCACUCCACCGCAUGCUAUCUCGUCCCCUCUUCUUAUCACCACCGAAUAGCCUGAUGCCGCCACCUUGCUCUUCUUUUUCGCCCCGGUGUCAGCUUAACAAGCAUACACCACCGCAAUUUGAUGCCACUCUCCUACACCUCAUAUUCACAUUGGGGCUCCAGCUGGCGUCGUGCUUUGCCUACAUUGUCGCCAGCGCAACGUACGUUCCAGCGAAUCUUUGCCAGCACUACCGUGUACAUGCCAGCCAUCUUUGUCAGCACUACCAAUGACGUGUCGGCACCGCCUUUGGCAGACAAAGAAUCAAUUUUGCUUAAAAAGUUUGAGCAUGAGAGUUUUUGAAAAAAUAAUCAAGUGCCUGUUAACCCAACCAUAUAAAUAAACAUUGUACACACAGUUCCACCAUUAAUUAAAUAAAUGUAGCAAUGCAAUGAUUUCUCUCACCCUGAGUGAACGUAAGAAUACUCUACUUCAGGAGAUGUGUGUGUUGUUCCCAAGUCCUUGAGAUGGCCAGCAUCCAUGAUGCGCAAUAAGUCAUUUCCUAAGUAAGUCAAGCUAGCUAGCAUUGCUCUGCCGGAAAAGGUUGACAACCUAGCAGCCAUUUUUGUCGUGGUUGAUAGAUGGCUGCAAAAGUUCACAAAAAUGUUCCUUCUUCUGUACCGUGGGAACUUGGGGAUCUUAAUUAUCAUCCAUCCAUCCAAGCUUUUGUCCUAAUAGCAAUAUUUGUGCAAUCUUCCAUCGUCAUGUACAUGUUGUGGUCUUGCCCGUCAAUCUGCAGUGCUACUACAUUCUUAUCAAUAUUUAAGCCAAAAUAGCACUCCCUCCGUAACAAAAAAGCCGUAAGACAUUUUUUAUACCCUAGGCAAAAAAAAGCUUACAUUUUGGUACAGAGAUUUUAAUGAAUAUGGGGAUUAAGUCUUGCAUUCCAGGGAGGGGACACAAGAAGGGCAGCAACUCGGGCACUACUUCAAGAGAGAAAAGGUGUCCAAACUCAAUAAGUUAAUUCGGCCAACUCGAGACACAGAAGAGAAAAGAAGAAGACUAUGUUACAUGCCUCUUGAUUUCCAAAUAAAACAUAGCUUUAUGCAUGCAUGCUAAACCUCCUCGGCUUGACUGUCAUCCAUUUCACCUGAUGUGUCUAUCCUUUCUUGAUAUGAUUAACGGGCCAUUUUUCACUGUUACGUUCCAUUGGGAAAAAAGGAGCUAGCGGCAACUUAUCAUGUGCGAUUUGUCCAUGACUAAUCAUCAAGAGCUGACCACAACCCAUUGCCAUUGGUUGGUUGAUUGAAUAAUACUCCUUUACUAUGCAAUGCCAAAUCAUCCUAGUAUAAGUAGCUAGUUAGUUGUACCGCUCGGGUCAAGCAUUUUCACCAUUCUAAAUCACCGGAGUGCUAGCAACAAAAGGAGCCCUUGAAACCAGCUUUACCCGGAUUCUCAAUGUGAUGAGAAAGAUGGACAAUGGUCACUCAAGCCUAAAUGCUGACCGACAUGGAUAGGAAGAAGAGUAGAAAAUUACUAAAACAUAACCAACUCACAACCAACAACAUGGCUAGUUGGAUAGGUUCUAUAUUUGCCUCCUAAUUUCCACUAAGACAUGACUUAUGCAUGCUAAACCUCCUGAGCUUAACUGCCAUUCAUCUCACAUGAUCGAUGCGUCCGUCGUUUUAACCAUUUUCUACCAUCCAGUCAAACAUUUUCACCAUUCAAAAAUACCGAAGUAGUAACAAAAGAGGGAGCCCUUGAAAUUAUCUUCACCCGAAUUUGGCUGAUCUUUUUUCUACUAUAGAGGUGUGAGUAUCUUUUUUGUAAACAAUCCAACAUAGUACAAAAUACCGUUAAAUGUGAUGUGAUGUUGAAACCAAGGCUGAGAUACAAUUGUAGUACGUAUGUUUAAAAAAAGGAUCAGCUUGGGUAUCUAACAGACAAAUGUGAGUAUCUUUUAUGUAAACUAUCCAAACGUAUUUCGGCUGUUAAAUGUGAAGUGAUGUCGAAACCAAGGCUGAGAUACAAUAGAUCAGCGUAGGCCAUCCUUUUUACAAUACAAACAACAACAUGAGUUUCUAUUUAUUUUUAGAAAUGUUAAAAAAUUGACGUCAGAAAGGAAAAGAAGUAGUUCAAUCAUGAAUGGUACCAGGGCUAGCUUAGCUAGAUGCUUCACCCGAUCGAACUCUCAGUGUAACGAGAAAGAUGGACAAUGGUCACUCAAGCCUACAUGCUGACUGACGUAGACAGGAAGAACAGUAAAAAAAGUACAACAUAUGACCAGCUCACAACCAACAAUAUUUGCCUCUUAAUUUUCGCUAAGACAUGACUUAUGCAUGCUAAACUUCUUGAGCUUAACUGACAUUCAUCUCGCAUGAAUGAUGUGUCUGUAAUUUUGACCGGAUAAAUUAACCGGUCUCCUUUUUAGCAUGUGCACAUAGGCGCAAAAUUUUCAUGGAGAAAAGAGAAGAAGGUAGAAUUAAAGGAGAGUCAACUUAUCAUGUGCGAUUCGUUCAUGACAGAGAGAUGUGUGAGUCCUAGUCAUCAACACAAGAGUUGACUUGAACCCAUUUGCCAUUGGUUGGUUGAUACUAUACUCCUUUGCCAUGCUAUAGGUAAUUGAUUAAUCGAAUCCUAGUAACUAGUGAGUCGUACCAUCCAGUCAAACAUUUUCACCCUUGUAAAUCCACUGGGGCAAAUUUUAACAUGCUUCCUCUUACCUCCUCUUUUGACAUGUGAGGUAAGAAGGUAAGAGUUAAUCAGACCACUAAUUAAUGAUAUCAACGGAUCAGAUCUAUUUUAUACUCUUACCUCUCAUGUGAAAAGAGAAGAUAAGACAAAGCAUGUUAAAACUGCUUAGCAACAAAAGAUGGAGCUCUUGAAAUCAGCUUCACCCGAAUUGCUUUCUGUCUAGAAGAAGAAUCUAGGGAGCUACGCACCGUAAAAAAAUGUUUGUGGGACAGGACAUUGGUCACCAAGUUUUACAAUUGAUUAAUGGUGACUCGAGCCAUUAUUUCUCUAUGCAGUAUAAAUAUGUUAACUAACUCGACUUAUAUGCAGAAGAAAAGAUAAGCUGACAACGAAUACACAAUAGCUAAUUAUGGCGUGACAAAUAACGUACUCUCCUCGUUUUAUAUUAACUGUUGCUGCUUGAGUACAACUUUAUACCAAAAUUAUAUUAAAGCAGCGAAGAUUAAUAUGGAUCGAAGGAAGUAUAUAUGAAAAAAAUCAGCUUGGGUAUCUAACAAAUAGAUGGGGGAUUUCUUUAAACAAAACAAAACAAACAUAGUACAUGUAUUUUGGCCGUUAAAUUUGAUGUUAAAACCAAGGCGAGAUACAGAUCCAAAGGACAUGCCAGGCCACCCUUUUAUAAUAAAUUAAAACAACAACUAUCUAUGUAAUUAUUUUAUCAAAGAAGAGAUGGAUGGAAGUAAGAUGCUUCUCAGAAGGAGAAUAUAUACUGUAUAUAAAUAAUUUAGCCAUGCAGAUAAAAACAAAAUAGAAAAUAAGAAAAAGGAAUAUAUAUUGUAUAUAAGUAAUUUAGACCAGCACCGCCUUUGGCUCAUUGGACACGAAUAAAAUGGUAGCACUAGUACAGAAACUAGGGAAUUAAUGGCACAACUGCCGAUCGAGAUGCCUUUAGUCUCUCCUUUAACACUUCAUUGAUAUCAACAGAUACAAAAGAUAUCAAUUAUGCUUAUUUGGAUAAGAACUAUAUAUUUGGUAUACCUAGCUGUUUUCCCUCGAGACACACUUUUUUCCAUGAUACAACCUAGCUCAUAUAUGAUGGUCGAAAUUGCCCCACUCCAUUUCCAUUAGCCGACCCUCCUCCCCUUCUCUUUCCAUGUCCUGACCAACCGCUGCUCUGCCAUCACCUGCCUUGGUGUAAGAUCGACGAGAGUCUCCGACAAACACCACUCUCACGCCUACUACCUACUCCCCCUUCUUAUCAUUAUCAAAUAGUUGGAUGCCGCCACCUUGCUCUUUUUUUCCACCUCGGUGUCGGCCUAACAAGCACCUGCCACCGCAAAUUCAAGCGACUCUCCUACACCUCGUAUUCGCAUUGGGCUCCAGCUGGCAUCAUGCCGCUUUUGCAUUGUCGCCAACGCAACGUGUGUUUCAGUCCGUCUUUGACAACACUACCACAUACAUGUCAUCCAUCUUUAUCAGCACUACCAUGGAUAUGUUGGCACCGCCUUUGGCUCGUCGGACACGAAUAACAUGGUACCAAUAGUACAGAAACCAUGGAAUUAAUGGCGCAACUUCAGAUUGAGAUGCUUUUAGUCUCCUUUAACACUUCAUUGAUAUUGAGCGAUAUGAAAUAUAUCAAUUAUGCUUAUUUAGUAAGAACUACAUAUUUGGUACACCUAGUUGUUUCCCCCCAAAGAUUGAGUAUAUGACAGUCGAAAUUGCCCCACCCCAUUUCCAUAAGCCGACCCUCCUCCCCUUCUCUCACCCUGUCUUGACCCACCUCCGCUCUGCCAUCACCUACCUCGGCAUGACAUCAACGAGAGUCUCCAACAAACCACUCUCACACAUGCUAUCUACUCCCCUCUUCUUAUCAUUAUUAAAUAGGUCCAUGCUGCCACCUUGCCCUUGUGUUUUGCCUCAGUGUCAACCUAACAAGCACCUACUACCACAAAUUAAGGCCACUCUUCUACAUCUCGUAUUCGCAUUUGGGCUUCAUCCGGCGUCGUGUCUCACUUGCAUUGUCGCCAACACAAUGUAUGUUUCAACCCAUCUUUGCCAAAACUACCACAUACAUGUUAUCCAUCUUUGUCAGCACUAUUGCGCAUGUGUCGGCACCACCUUUGGCUCGUCGGACACGAAUAAAAUGGUAGACGAAGAAUCAAUUUUUCUUUAAAAGUUUGAACAUGAGUUUUUCUUUUGAAAAAUUAUCGAGUGCAGGCUAACACCGCCAGUUAAAUAAAUAUCGUACACAAUUCCAUUGUUAAUUAAAUGUCAAUGAUUUGUUUCACCCUGAGUGAAUGUAAGAAGGCUCUGUUUUAGGAGAUGUUUGUGUUGUUGGCAAGUAAUUAAGUACCUGAGAUGGCCAUCAACAUCCAUGGUACGCAAUAAGUCAUUUCCUAACUAGGAGAAGAGAAGAAUUAGUAGAGUUAUUUAGUCAUCAAUGUGUGUGUUGUUGAUAGAUGCCUGAGAAGUUUGACGAGAAUGUUUCAUCUUCUGAAUUGUGGCAACUUGGGGAUCUUAUUAUCAUCCAUCCAUCAAGGCUUUUGUCCUAGAAACAAUCUCUAGGCAUCGCCCAUAGUGUUGUUAUUGAUUUGUGCACUAGUACUGUACUACACUCUUAUUGAUCUGACUGAGAAAUGAACUACGAUGAUACAUAUAUGUUGAACACUUUUGUCCCGAAAAGAGGCUGACCUUGACCUCUACAUCAUUGUGAUGAACAAUCACAUAUUUGUAGAACUGAAUAUACCAACUAGUUUAACCAACAACUCAGUGUGAAAGAUGGACAGGGUUUACCCAAGCCUAAUUAAAUGUGGACUUGCAUGGACAAAGAAGAAGAGUGAAAAGGCAAAACAUGACUAGGUUCUAUAUAUGGCUCUUAAUUUCGACCUAAAACAUGACUUACAUGCAUGUUAACCCUCAUGAGCUUAGCUGGCAUUCAUCUCGCAUGAUCGAUGUGUCUGUCGUUUUGAUCGGGUAUAUUAACGGGCCACCUCUUUAGCAUGUGCAUGGAUGCCCAAAAUUUCCAUGGAAGAAAAAGAGAAGAAGGUAGAAUGAAAGGAGAGGCAACUUAUCAUGCGCGAUUCGUUCAUGACAGAGAGAUGUGUGAGUCCUAGUCAUCAACACAAGAUGAGUUGACUUGAACCCAUUUGCCAUUGGUCGACACUACUAUACUCCUUUUUCCUGCCAUGCUAUGGGUACUUGACUAAUGGAAUCCCAGUAAUAAGUACUCCCUCCGUCCGGAAUUACUUGUCGCAAAAAUGAAUUAAAAUGGAUGUAUUUAAAACUAAAAUAUGUCUAGAUACAUUCAUUUUUCCGACAAGUAUUUCCAGACGGAGGGAGUAGUGAGUUGUACUGGCCAGUCAAACAUUUUCACCCUUGUAAAUUGCUGGAGUAGUAGUAGGUAGCAACAAAAGAGGGAGCUCUUGAAAUCAGCUUCACCUGGAUCGCUUUGUUUCUAGAAGAAGCUAGGGAGCAAGACACCAUCCAUAAAUAAACAAAUCAAGAUGAGACAAGACGUUACUCACCAAGUUUGACAAUUAAUUAAGAGUUCUUUUACAGUACCCCGAGUUUAAUAUGAGCCAUCCAUUUGUUCAAAUCCAACGGGCGUGCUUAAAUGGUACUCCAUUGUAAGCAUCAAGGAGUACUGCAGCCAAAUACGAGGGAGUACCUUAAUUCUGAGGGUAUAUUCGUCAUGUACAAGAGCUAGACUCAGAUCCAAAGUUUGAUGACUAGUAUGAUGCUACUUCGGCAGUCAGCUACAGCGAGUUCUUUGAUCAUGCUCCAACUUAUGCACCUUCGAUCAUGCACCAGCGAGUUCUUCGAUCAUGCACCAACGUAUGGUCCUUCUUCCCUUGGCCAAGAGAAACACAAAAUCAUGCAGGCAUGAACGGUCCAACAAGGAUUUCUGAAUCACGUUAGUUUACCGUCAAUCAAUACUGUUGAUUGAAUAUGGACAUGGGGGAAUUUAUGAUCAGCAAAUUACAGGGGCGGCCCAUUUGAUUUCAGUAACGCCGGCAGAUUCGUUUACAACAAAGGAGAUCGUUUUGAUUUCAACCGCGCCGGCAAAUUCAUCUAUAACAAAGGCGACGUGAUCUUAGAAACUGAGAUGGCGGCGGCUGAUUCGGGCGCUGAGGCGGCGCCGUAGACACAAAUUGAUUGGAUUAGGGUAAUCAAACCACCGUGUCAACUGUAAAAUGUCUCUAAUGCCCUCCAAUAUUAACGGCCGGAUUUAGUUGGUACUCCACAUAGGCCUUGGGGAGUACCAGGGUACCGUAAAAAGACUCUUAAUUAAUGGUAACUCUGAGCGAUAAUUUUUGUAUGCAGACGAAAAGAUAAGCUGACAGCGACUACGCAAUAGCUAAUUAAGGCGUGACAAAUGUAGUACUUCCUAGUUGUACUAAAUCAGCAACAAGUAAUAUAGAUAGAAGGGAGUAGAUAUUUUUUUUCUUUUCAAAAUUAGCUUGGGCUCCGUAAACUAAUAUAAGCGUGUUUAGAUCACUAAAAUCCAUAACAUACGGAUGAGAGUAUUUUGUGAAAGAAAAGAAAAAGGAAAGAAACAUCUAGGUGUAUUUGGGCGUUAAAUUUGAUGUUGAAACCAAGGGGAGAUACAAACAGAUCCAAAGGACAGGCUAGGCCGUCCUUUGACAAUAAAUUAAGAUUGCAGCAAUCUAGUUAGUAUUUUAUUUUAUCUGACAACACAACAGAUGGAUGGAAGUACUAGUAAGAUGCUCCUCUUCUUAGAAGAAAGGAAGGAAGGAAGGAAGGAAGGAGAAUAUAUACUUAUACUCUGUAGGUAUAUAAACAAUAAUUUUGGAGUGCAUAUAUAUAUAUAUAUAUAUUGUUGUUGUUGUUGAAAAUGAUCAAGAAGUGCAGUGCAGGAGAGAGGAGGGGGACAGAGACCAAACAAAGGCACCAUCCUGUGUCUGACUCACUCUGUUCUCCUCUUUCUUUCCUGUGGGCAGGAGCUUUCUUUCUCCCUUACUUUUCUAUCCACAAACUCACUGCAGAAGAGAAGAGAAGAGAAGAGAGCGAGAGAGACAAGGAGAAGAGAAGAAGCAGUGGAGAAAGGUCGUCCGUCCCUCCCUCACAUGGGCUUCCCUUCUUCUCAGCCCCCGCGAAGCAUCCUCCUCCUCAGACCCCUUCUUCCUCCUCUCCCCCGCAGCCCCCUUGCCCUUGCUUGAACAGCAACAAGAAGAAGAAGAUUCAGCUUCCACCAGCUACCGUCCGUCCAAGCGGAUUUCUCCCCGCUUCCUUUCCAUGCGCCGGAGCUGGAGCCGGACCCCCCAGCUUCCUCGCCGGCCGACCAGGACCAUCCCGUGGAUUCCCGUAGCCUCCUACCUCAGCUACCUCCGACCCUGCCCUCACCAACACCCGACCCAAGCUGGGAUUUUUAUUCUUCUAUUCCCCUUCCCCUUCCCCUCCCCCUCCCCCUCCCUUCAGAGCAGAGUAGGUUGCUUCUCAAUCGGGUCAACCCGGUCCGGACCUCCCCCUCCCCGCCGGAUCUUGCCCACCGAUCCCCGCCGCCGUCCUCCGAUCCAUAGUCCCCCGAGGAACAGAGCAGCUCAUGGUGGGGCAGACCAUGAUGCGCAUCGUGCGCCCCUGCUUCAAGCCCUCGCUGCCCGACGGCGCGCAGGUCGUCGCCGCCGGGGGCGGCGGCACCAGGGAGGGCCUGCUCUGGUACAGGGACGCCGGCCGCCACGCCUGCGGCGACUUCUCCAUGGCCGUCGUGCAGGCCAACCAGCUGCUCGAGGACGCCAGCCAGCUCGAGGCCGGGCCCCUCGUCGCCGCCGACGGGCCCUGCGCCACCUUCGUCGGCGUCUACGACGGCCACGGCGGGCCCGAGACCGCCCGCUUCGUCGCCGAUAACCUCUUCCACCACCUAAAGAGUAAGUAGUCUAUGCUGCAUCUUUAACUAAGGCAAGUCACACAAUGAUCUUAUUAAGGAUGGAUUAGGUACCUCAUCCUAGAUGUUGAAAUUGAUUCAUCUUAUAAUGUGGUGCUACCUCAUCCUAGAUGUUGAUCAACUCUUAAUUUGUUCUAGAUGAAUCACACUGUCCAUUACUAUGAUACUCACAACCGAUUUAUGAUUGCUUUGAUGCAGAGUUUGCGACGGAACAACAAACCGUGUCGGCCGACGUGAUACGCAGAUCCUACGCUGCCACGGAGGAGGGGUUUCUGAACCUUGUGAGGAAGCAGUGGCUCAUCAAGCCGCAGAUCGCCUCGGUCGGUACGUGCUGUUUGGUUGGCAUUAUCAACGAAGGGGUCCUCUACAUAGCAAACACCGGUGAUUCUCGUGCUGUCCUCGGGAGACUUGAGCGGGGCGUCAAAGACAUUAGGGCUGUUCAGCUCUCGUCCGAGCAUAACGCGAGCUUUCAGGAGGUAAGGGAUGAGCUAAGACAGAUGCACCCAGACGACCCGCGGAUCGUGGUCCUCAAGCACAAUGUUUGGCGCGUGAAGGGCAUUAUUCAGGUAUUUCAUUUUGCUGGCUUCUGUUUUAUGCAUCACUUCAUCUGUGUAAAAUUAAGUUGGGCCAGGAGUUCAUUUGAUAAGGAUUUGUAUUUGUGCCCCAUUUCAUGGAUUAAUGCUGCCAAGAGCACGCCGCCAUUUGUGCCCCCAUUUCAUGAGUUUAUGCUGCCAAGAGCACGCCAUUUGUACAAAGUCCCAAGAUCAAUGCCAUUUAACAUUUCUUGUAUAAUUAACUCAUCAUGCUCUGGCUUUUCUCUGCUUUGUGUUCAGGUUUCCAGAACGAUCGGUGACGCCUACCUAAAAAGUUCGGAGUUUAACCGCGAGCCUCUUCUGGCACGGUUCCGUAUUCCAGGGCCCUUCCAUAAACCAAUUCUUUGUCCGGAACCAUCCAUUGAAGAACACAGACUGUGUGCAGAAGAUCAGUUUGUUAUAUUUGCGUCAGAUGGACUAUGGGAGCACUUGAGCAAUCAGGAAGCUGUGGAUAUAGUUCACUGUUCACCUCGGAAUGUAAGCCACACUUCCUCUUGUAUUAUUCUUUUGCAAUGUACUGAAAUAUGCUUCCUGUUUUAGGUUUAUUUUCUUGGGGAACCUGAAGACUGUAGAAGAAGUUCCUACAGUCAUAUACUCCCUCCGUCCAAAAAUAAGUGUCUCAAGCUUAGUACAACUUUGUACUAACUUUAGUACAAGUUUACAUAUUGUACAGGGGGACAGAGGGAGUAUUAAUUAAAUCACAAGUUUACAUAUUGUACAGGGGUGGGAGUGGGGCUUUGCCCCACCCCGAAAACAGAGCAAGAUGUAAGGGAGAAUAGUAAUAAAGAUUACACUAAUGGAAUGUGGGACUAAGACACCCCUUGGACUAGACAAGUGACAAAACCUUCUAGCUCUGACUUGAUGCUUUGCUUUGGUAGAAUAAAAUCUUGUUUGAAUCUAUUAAGCCAUGAUCUGUGUGAGUCUUCCUCUCCUUCCAGAGGGACCACGCAGCACUGAUGAAGACUUCCAUGAACAUGUGCCUGGUCCAAGCUUGCUUAGCGGAAGAGAUCCAAUUAAACAGAUUCCUGUUUUAGGCUUGCCCUUUUUUAUUGCUAUGUGACCAAAAAUAGAUUACACCGAGUGCCUUAUUUUAUGAAAUUGCCUCAAUGGCCACCCAGGGAGUGAUUUGGACACACUCACUCCUUUAGAUGAACGAGCAAAAUUAGCUCACAUCGAGGUCUAAAAAGUUAUGAAUUAUUCUACGACAUUGAUACAAUACACGUAUAGUAUGUCAUAAAAUUUAUACCCAAAUUCGUUUUACACACCAGAAAACUAAAAAGGCAAUUUUGGUAAUGAAUCAAAGCCAAUUCGAAUUCCGCUGCUUAACUACAAUUACAUCUAAUUCUUUCUCUCUUAUUUCUUCCCAAUGCGAGUUGAUUUAAAAAAAAUAAAGUUCCAUGAGAUGGCAGAUUAUUGUGGCUUGCGUCAAUGUUGUAGAAAUUUUCAUAGCUAUUUUGGAGUUCCAUUUGGUACGAUUCAACCGUAUGCUCCUAAAGAGAUGAGUGCACAUGGACGUCAUCAAGCACUCUGCUUUGAGAUCUACCCUGUUUAAUUUAACUAAAUUUUUUAGCAAAGUGAAGUUGCGUUUUAGAAGGACCAAACUGCAAUUCCUUUCUGUCAAGUUGUCGCAUGCUUAAUUUUUUACGAAAAUCUUUGCAGGGCAUUGCGAGACGACUAAUAAAAGCAGCUCUGCGGGAGGCGGCAAAGAAGAGAGAAAUGAGAUACUCAGACUUGAAGAAGAUCGACCGCGGGGUCAGGAGGCACUUCCACGAUGAUAUUACUGUUGUGGUAUUAUUCAUGGAACCCGCGCUUAUCAGCAGGAGGCUCUACGGUGGGCCGUUGCUUUCGCUAAGGGGUGGUGGCAGCACGCCAACGUUUGCACAGAAAUGCUGAACAUCCAUCACUGAUGCUUUCUGGAAAUAUCCUCCUAUAUAUCGUUCAUAUCUUGGGCUGCUGGUGCUCUCCACACGACAUGCAGACACUGCGUAGAGCGGUGCGUGGAGGAGCCGUAUUGUUUUGACUUCUAAUAUGUACAGAUAGAGAGAGAGAGAGAGAGAGAGAGAGAGAGAGAGAGGCGUUGUUCGAUUCGAUCGCCGCGUCAUCGGUGUGAUGACAUGACCCUCUGUUGGCUCGCUCGCUCGGAGAAACCUAAGCUGGCAGCUGCAAUGCAUAAUUUGCAGGUAUCAGCUGGUGUUUCUCUUUUCGCGGGGUGGAUGGACCUGAACUUGAGCAGUAUUUUAAGAAACAUGGGAUUAAGACAUUGCCGGAUGCUGUUGUUACAUCUCAUGGCCUCUCCUUCAUUUUGCAGCUGUCCAGCUUUCUGUUUGAGGUCCCCAUUGUAUUUUAAGCUUUAAGCUGGAUGCACCUGUGUGAAAUGUGGAUGUUGGGGCAGAGUUGGAUUAGCAUUAGCCAUGGACUUUGUAAAGAGUAUAUGUCCAUUUUGCCAAGACAAGGACUAAAAAAAAAUUCUACUUUUAACUUGUUGAAUCAUCAGUAUUUAUUUCCAGUCUGUCGAAAUAGAAAUCCACAUACAUGGUUAUACACAUUAGAAAGGAUCAUUAUGUCAUGUGCAAAAAUGAAUCGUGAUUCUGAGAGGAAAUGCCGUGUCACCCAAGUACCGUUUUUAGUUGAUUGUAUUCGUUUUAAACUUGCAUUGUAUGCAUUGCAUUGUAUUUGCAGUCCAAAUGAGUGAGGAUUUGUAUUUGUUUU
rnacentral:lncRNA from 1 species